rnacentral:lncRNA from 1 species
AACGAUGUAAUCGAGAAAAUCUGUUGUGUCAUCAAAUUUGAACCCUCUGCUGAUGGAGGUUCAAUCUGCAAAACCACUAACACAUACUACCCCAAAGGUGGUGCUCAGAUCGGUGAGGAACACCUCAAGGGAGGAAAAGAGAUGGGUUUGGGAAUGGUUAAGGCUGUUGAGGCUUACCUCCAUGCAAAUCCUACUGCCUACAACUAAUUAUAAUGAAUGCUACUGAAGGACUCUUCGACAUAUUUUCUUCAAGAUUGAAGUACACACUGAGGGUGUGUUUCCUUUUUUGCUUGGUUUGCUUUAAGCUGUUUGGUUAAGUUAAAAACAAAAUUGAAUCAUAGAGAGAACAAAAAAAAUAUAGUGUUUCUUAUGGAGAAAAAAAUGGAGCUGAUGCCUAAAAUCUCACAUGGAUCCAACAAGGAUAUGCUCAAAGUUGGAAAAAUGUGCUAUAAUUAUGAUUACUCCUUUAUGAAAUAAAGCUGAAAGCAGCUCAAUUUCUUUUUGUUUUCCAUAUUAUUCAAUUUCGUUGUCGAUUUUUGAUAGUUGUAUUUUUUUUAUUGCUUUAAUAAGGGCUAUGAUUGGAUAUCCUGUUAUGCCAUUGGCUGUCGAUGCUAAACCUGAUAAAUUAGAUGGAUCAUCCAAAUAAAGACAAAAUUGGCUAUGUAAACAUUGGUGAGGGACUAUUUCAGCUUAAGAAAAAUAGUUGAGGGACUAAAUUGGCUUAUAAUAAAAUUAGGGACUACUUCAGCUUUGUAAAAAUAGUUGAGAGACUAAAUUGACUCAUAAAAAGUUUAGGGACUAUUUUGACAUUAACGAAAUAGUUUUGAGACUAUAAACAUUAGGUCACAAUGUUGAAAUAUCAAAACCCAUGUUUGGGACCAAAACUCAUAGAACUUCUUCACGUCGCUAGCGAAAUUUGAUUCUGAAGUAAUGCUAAUUUUAUUUAUUAUUUGUUUCCUUGCUGGUCUUCUGUCUUUUUGGUUACAAUAUUAAAAUGUAUCCAUAAUUUUCAAUUCCAAAAGUGUUGAAUAUUUAAACGAAUUCUAGAAAGGGCACUGAGAGUCAAAAUCUUAUUCAAACAGCCAGCCAUCUCAGAGUACAUAUUUUUUUAUUAUCAGGUUCAAAAUGUAUCUAUUGCAAUUUUUGAAUGAUCAGCCAUGACUAAGAGAAUAAAAUAAUUCACUUGCUGUUUUUAGAUGUGAAUUCAUGACUGUCAGUAGUCUAUAAAUACACUUAUUGCUCACCACUCUUUGCACCGCAAAAUCUUUUCAAGAUCUAUCAAACCCUCCUGUUCUUGAUCUUUGUCCAUUUGUGAAAAAGCAAAUUAAAGCAUCAUGGCCUCUAUCACUUGUAGUGCUGAGAUGACCUCCCCAAUCCCUCCUGCAAGGUUGUUCAAGGCCGCCAUCCUUGAUGACCACCUUCUUCCCAAGAUCAUGCCACAGGCUAUUAAGAGUGGAAAUCCUUGAAGGAGAUGGUGGAGUUUGAACCAUUAAGUUGAGCACAUUUGGUGAAGGUUAGCAGUUAUAUUAAAUGUAGAACCCAAAUUUUAAGGAUCUAAUAAUAAUCAAUGCGUGCAGGGUUACAGAAUUGGAGGGAUAAAAUAAAUACUCAAAAUAUACGUGGAAGAAAAGAAAAUAAUAAAUUCAACUCAUAAUAUUAUUGAAAUUUCAAACAAUGAAGAAAAUCAUACCACAAUAAAUUCAGCUGGUUCUAAUAAUAAUCAAAGCAUACAAGGUUGCAGAAUUAAAAGGAUAAAACAAACACUCAAAAUAUAUGUGGGAGAGAAGAAAAUAAUAAAUUCAACACACAAUAUUACUGAAAUCUCAAACAAUGAAAAAAGUCACACCAUAAUAGAAAACCUUGCUAAUUCUUCUAGAUUCUUUCUCUUGAGAAACCAACCUAAAUAAUGUCCUAUUUAUAAUCUACCAAACUUGUUAGGAAAGAAACCACUUGCAUAAGAAAUUACCAAAUAAAACAGAAAUUCCUAAAUCACACAACUACUAAAAACAUAACUCAAAUAAAACUAAAAAUAAAUAAAUAUUUCUUGGCUUAGUUUAAUUUGUCAACAUUGCCUCCCUUAAACCAAACUAUCCAUUGAGAUAGGUUCAACACCAUCUCGAGCAAUAAUUUCUAUGUUGUAGUACACUUGACAUGAAACUCUAACUUGUUACCAGUUAUUAAUUUCAUUUUUACAUGUAACAAUGGACGCACUAUGUAUUUUGUAAAAAAUUUCUCAGCAAUUUCUUCUUGAUCAAAGUACUCACUUAUACAAACACAUUCAUCACCAGAAUCACCAUAUUUACCACCAAUGUAAGUGCCUAAAAAUACAAAAUCAUAGAUUGCUUUCUGGCUAAAAUUAUCAUCACCAAAUAAUUCAAAAUAACCACUACUACAAUCAUCCAAAAUUUUCAUACUGUCAGUCAACUCUUUUGGAGUAAAGUAUUUUUCAACUCCGAUGACAUCCAUAUCUAUCAAAUCAAACAUUCUCCCAUGACUUUGAAGAGAGUCCGCAACCAACGAAUUUUUCAACAACAAUUUCAUGUUCUCUUCUCUUAUCAAAUCAAAAUUUUCUUCUUCUUUUGUCAAAUUACCAUUUUAUUUUUUUCAACAAAUUCAUUACUUCUAAUUUCUCCAAACAAGGUACGCAAAUCAAAACUAUCAAUUGAUUCAAAAUUUUCAAUAUCACCCAUAUUAUCAACAAAUCUAUCAUUUUUAAAAUCCACAAACUAAUUCCAACAACUAGACUUCGGUUUGAAAGCAUAAUUUCUCUCAAUCGUGUGCAAAACAUAGUAAAUAUUCUUCCAAAAUCUCUAAAGUAUUUUAGUACAACCAAUAAAGGUUUUAUAAAUACUUUUUGCCAUUAAUUUAUGCAUCACUUGAAAGAAUAAUUGUGCCUUUUUCUUAAAAACAUGUUUUGCCAACUUACUUGCGUCAACCCAACAAAGAAUAUCAUCCAAAUUACAUUGUUUGACAUAUUUUUCCACUGUUAAAAUCCAACCAAAUAUGUAUGUAUAUUUGUGCUUAUAGGAGUCAAUAUGAAAAAUUUUUCACCGUCAAUCAGAUCUUUAUAAUAUUCCAUUAUUUAACAAUUUGUAUACCUGAAUAAAUUUUUUUCCUCCAUCCUGUCAUGUUUUCUUGGCCUCCCUGGUUGACUAACCAAAUUAUUGUUGUAUGUAUACCCAUGCUCGUCAAACCUCAUUCGUGUACACUCGUAAGGAGUGGUUCUGAGCUUAUUGUGAAUGCUCAGUACCAAGAAGUAGAAGAGAGAAUGCAUAAGAGAGAAUUAACUUGGCUAAAGAAUUAGGAAACAAUUGAGGGAUUUUUUAAGAAAUUAAUUCUCCAACUGCCACUUUUGGAAAUUUUCUAUCAACAACUAGUUACCAAAACACUAGCACAUAGUAAGAAAUCUGGAUAAUUUCAGAAACCUCCCUUGAGGCUUUUAAUAAUCUCGAGAAGCUCCCCUCAAUUUUUAAAAUUGCACGUACCAUCCCUAUUGGUGCAAAAGUACUCUACUACCCCUAAUAGGAUACUCAAAAGACUUUUUUUAUGGGAAAAAAGAAGGCCAGAAAUCCAAGCGAAAACAAAAAAAAUCAAUUUAUUUUCUCUUUUAGCCUUUUACGCUUUUGCCUUCUACCUUUGCUCACUUUCCCAUGCCAAUCUUCCUAUAACCACUUUCCCAAUCCCCUUUCCCCAACUUUUCUUCUCUACUUCAAGACCAAUUUUUGUCCAUCAAUCCUGGCUUGUGCUUUGUUCCAUUCCCUUCCCUUCUCCUUCUUUGAUUUCCCCUAUAUCUCCCCUUCUCUUUGCAAAAGUGACUAGGCUCAUCUCUCUCCUUUUUUUCCCCAUAUUUUAAGUGUAGUGGGUUUGAUUAUUUUGCAUCUAUUUUAUUUGAUUUUGGUUGAUUAUGGGUGAUAAAACUUGGUGAUGUCACAUAUUAAAAGUUUGAUAGAUGGAUAUUGGGCUUUAGACAAUGAUUUGCUGAAAAAAAUGGCCGCAAUGAGAGGAAGAGGCAAAGGGAUUUGAGUGUGGGGUUGAUUGUUGAUGAAUUGUUGUUUUGGAAAAAAUUUGAGGUUGAGUUUUAUCAAAUUUGGUAGCAAGUGGCGAGAUUUGUUCAGGUUGCGGGAAAUAAAUUGGUUUGUGGUUUCUUGGGCACCCACAGUCGUUGGAAUUGGUUUUGAUUCAAAUUAGGGUGGUUACUUGAUUUUCCUAAUAGUGUUGCUUAAAAGCACACGAUCAUCAAAAUUCCUUAUUUUUAUCUUUUAUUUUUUUUUUGUAGAAAAGAUUUCAUGACUUUCGUGAUAGUCUAAUUUGGAAGAAGGCAAUCAAGGGAUGCAAUCAACAUUUAGCAAAAGCUCUUGUUCUUUUCUUUGUAAUUUUUAGGGUAAAAAGGGUUGUUUAGGGUAUUUGAAGGAAAUGAUAGUCUAUUGGGUCUAUUUUGAAGCAUAAAUAGUGAACGUAAGGGAGGUUGGUGUUAUUUCUGAAACCUAAGGGAAUUGUCUGAAAUUGUCCGAGACCUCGGAGGAGGUUUUCAAAAUUAUCCGUAAGAAAUCAAAUGCGAAACUUGAUUCGUACACGCACACACGACACCACACCACGUCACGCGUGUGUUGAGGACUGAUGUCCGUAGCCAACGACAAGCAGGUUUUCAAUUUUUUUUUCCUUUCCUGGAUUCAGAGAUGGUGUCAGCUUCUAUUAUUGGUGAGCAGGAGGAAAUCCACAAUAUACAGUACACAUCACCCAUAUUCUUUUUAAUUGAACAAUGUAUGAAAUUAUGGUGAUUCGAAAUUAAAUUAUAUGUUUAUUGGACAACGAAUCCAAAAUAAGAGUUGGAAAUGUAUUGUGACAACAAUUGUUAACUUUGGCCACAAAUGAUCAAAAUAAAUAUUUAAGGUUUAAUAUGACAUUAUGGGUUCAAAAUAUAGUUACUUGUUAUGAAACAACUAAAAGUGCGGAUGCCCAUUUGUAUUCUCAAAAGGAUCAAUUCAUAAUUCAUUGCUCCCAAGAUGAUUAAUUCAUAAUUCAUUGCUACAUUAUGUAAAGAAAUUACAUUGGAUGAAUGGUUUCAAUCCAUAAGAGCUAUUCAUGUAUUGGAUGAACCGUUUCAUAUGGCUAUUCAUGUUCUUGUAGUAAUGAGUGUUUAAUAGAAUUGAUGUACCUUUAAUUUUAUAGUACCUAUACAUAGAGGUACCUGGCACCUCUUCGGUGUACUUUUUGAUUAGUUGGAAUAAUAAGAAAAUCAUUCUCCAUUUCUGUACUCUUUCACUAAUAUUUCAAUUCCUAUUAUAGUAGUUCAUUUUUUUUUAGUUUUACAACACGUUAUCAGUACGAGUCUCUCCUUUUAAACAAAAAGGUGAAAACGGAGCCUCUACCUUAAAAAAAAAGUGAAACACGAGAUUUUGCCGAAAUUCUGCCGUAUUUUUCCAGUAACUUCUGUCUACUUAUUGAGAAAUGGAUGCCAAAUAUUUGGGAUUAAAUGAUGGUGAUGAUGACAUUUGUCUCAUUGAUAGUGCUACUACGCGCACUAUAUUGAAAAAUAAAAAAAUUUUCUUGUAUGAAAAUGGGAGAGACAAAUGUUAAUAUCAUAAGUGGUAGUGCAAAAUUGAUUGAAAGAUUCGGAAGAGCCACUCUAUUUCUUCCUAAAGGGACUAAAAUUGUCGUAAAUAAUGCACUAUUGUCUCCCAAGUCUCGGAGAAAUUUAUUGAGUUUUAAAGAUAUCCGCAAAAACGGAUAUCAUAUUGGGACAAUGAUUGAGACAAAUGGAAAAUUUUUAUUAAUCACAAGUAUCAUUUCUAGACAGAAAUACGUAGUAGAAAAAUUACCUUCUUUUUCUUUUGGCUUAUAUUAUGCACAAAUUAGUGCAAUUGAAAUUUAUCACCUAGUAAACCAAAAGUCUAUUCAUCCCAAUAAUUUUAUCAUUUGGCAUGAUCAUUUCAGAAAUCUUGAAUCUAUAAUGAUGAGACAAAUAAUCGAGAAUUCACAUGGUCACUCAUUGAAAAAUCAAAAGAUAUUAAAAGCAAAUGAAUUCUCCUGUGUUGCUUGUUCCCACGGAAAAUUUAUUAGACCAUCACCAGCUAAAGUUGGGACUGAAUCCCCUACAUUUCUAGAACGAAUUCAUGGUGAUAUAUGUGGAUUAUUUCGAUAAUUUAUGGUGCUAAUUGAUGCAUCAUCUAGAUGGUCACAUGUAUGUUUAUUAUCUACUCCCAACCUGGCGUUUGCGAGUUUGCUUGCUCAAAUAAUUAAAUUGCGAGCACAAUUUUCAGACUAUCCAAUAAAGAAAAUUCAUCUAGAUAAUGCUGGUGAAUAUUCAUCACAUACUUUUGACGAUUAUUGCAUGUCCAUUGGAAUAACUGUUGAACAUCUUGUAACUUAUGUUCACACACAAAAUGGUCUAGCCGAAUCAUUUAUUAAACGGCUACAAUUAAUUGCUAAACCAUUGUUGAUGAGGUUUAAACUACUUUCAUCUGCUUGCGAACAUGCUAUAUUACAUGCAGCAACACUUGUGAGAAUUAGACCGACAAGUUAUCAUACUUAUUUUUCCCUACAAUUAACUUUUGGUUAUGAAUCCAAUAUUUUUCAUUUAAGAAUAUUUGGUUAUUCAGUUUGUGUUCUAAUUGCACCGCCCCGACGUUGUAAAUUGGGCUCGCAAAGAAGAUUGAAAAUAUAUGUCGGGUAUGAAUCACCUCUAAUUAUUAAGUAUAUGGAACCAUUGACAGAUGAUUUAUUUAUUGCGAGAUUUGUAGAUUGUCAUUUUGAUGAAUCAGAUUUUUCAACAUUAGGGGGGAGAUAAAAAUCAACCGAAAAAGGAAAUCACUUUAAAAAUAUCAUUGAAUUUUCUCGAUUCUCGUACAAAAGAAUGUGAACUAGAAAUUCAAAAGAUUAUACAUUUGCAAAAAAUUACAAAUCAAUUACCGGAUGCAUUUAAUGACUCCAGAAGAGUUACUAAAUCACAUAUUCCUAUUGAAAAUGCUCUGAUUAAAAUUAAUAUCCUUGAAGGACAAAUUACAAGUGCUAAUGAGUCUAAAGUGCGCCUGAAGCGUGGGAGAUUUCUUGGUUCCAAAGAUAAAAAUUUUCGAAAGAAAAGAGGAGUACAUGAAUCAACAAUUAAUGACAAAAUUUAACCUCCUGAAGAGAUCGCUCCUAAAGAGCCAAUUCUUGAAGAGAAUAAAAUCAUAGAAAAUUCAAUAAAUUUUGUCACUUCAGGGAAAAGUUGGAACCGAAAAGAAAUAAUUAUUGAUAGUAUUUUUGUAUAUAAUGUAGCACUUGAUAUUAUGGUAGAGAAUGGGGAUUACGAGCCUAAAUCGAUUGAUGAAUGUCGACGUAGAAAUGAUUGGCCAAAAUGAAAAGAUGCGAUCCAAUUUGAAUUGGACUCACUGGUUAAAAGAAAAGUUUUUGGACCUGUAGUCCAAACACCUGAAGGUGUGAAGCCAGUAGGAUAUAAAUGGGUAUUUGUGAAAAAAAAAUGAGAAAAAUGAAAUCGUGAGGUAUAAAUUAAUACUUGUAGCCAAAGGAAUUUCACAAAGGCCUGGAUUUGAUUAUGAUUACACGUAUUCACUUGUAGUGGAUGCUAUCACAUUUAGAUAUCUUGUGAGUUUUGCAGUACAUGAAAAAUCAGAUAUGCAUCUAAUGGACGUCGUUACUGCAUAUUUAUAUGAAAAUCUUGAAAAUGAUAUUUAUAUGAGAAUUCCCGAAGGAUUCAAUAUGCCUGAAACAUGCAAAUCAAAUCUUAAAAAUAUUUAUUUAAUUAAAUUACAAAAGUCUUUGUAUGGAUUCAAACAAUCUGAACGUAUGUGGUACCGCCUUAAUGAAUGUUUAACUAAAGAAGGCUAUACCAAUGAUCCAAUAUGUCCAUGUGUCUUUAUCAAGAAAAAUGGAUCAAAUUUUGUGAUAAUUGUUGUAUAUGUUGAUGAUCUAAAUAUGAUUGGAACACCUGAAAAGAUUCAAAAUAGUGUUGAAUAUUUGAAAAAAAAUUUGAGAUCAAAGAUUUUGGAAAAAUAAAAUUUUUCCUUGGUUUACAAAUUGAGCAUUUGAAAAGUGGAAUUUUGUCCACCAAACUGCUUAUACCCGGAAGGUAUUAAAGCGAUUUUAUAUGGAUAAGUCACAUACAUUAAGUAUUCCAAUGGUCAGAUCAUUAGAUCCUAAUAAGGACCCUUUUAGACCGCGAGAGGAAGAUGAAGAGAUACUUGGUCCUAAAGUACCAUAUCUCAGUGCAAUUGGUGCACUACUGUAUCUUGCUAAUUGUACAAGACUUGAUAUAUCAUUUACAAUAAAUUUAUUAGCAAGAUUUAUUUCCUCGCCCACAAGACGACAUUGGAAUGGUAUUAAACAUAUUUUUCGUUAUCUUUAAGGAACAAAUUGAUCUUGGCUUAUUUUAUUCAAAUAAAUCUAAACUUGAAUUGCUUGGUUAUGUUGAUGUUGGAUAUUUAUCUGAUUUGCAUAAAGCAAGAUCUCAGACUGGUUAUCUAUUUACAUAUGGAGGUACAACCAUUUCUUGGCGAUCUAGAAAGCAAUUAUUAGCCGCCACUUCAUCGAAUCAUGCUAAAAUAAUAGCAAUUCAUGAGGCUAGUCGAGAAUGUGUUUCGUUAAGAUCAAUGACCUACUAUAUCCGGAAGAGUUGUGGGUUAUCCUCUGAAAAAGAAAAUCCUCCGACUAUAUUUUAUGAAGAUAAUGCAGCUUGUAUAGCUCAAUUGAAAGGAGAAUAUAUUAAAGGAGAUAGAACGAAAUAUAUUUCACCAAAAUUCUUUUUUACUCAUGAUUUACAAAAGAAUGGUGAAAUUGUUGUGCAACAAAUCCGAUCAGAUAAUAAUUUGAUAGAUUUAUUUACUAAUGUAUUGCCGACUGCAAUAUUUGAGAAAUUGGUGAAGAAUAUUGGAAUGCGACGACUAUAAAAUCUCAAAUGAUAUUUGCAUCAGGGGGAGAAAUCAAUACACAAGAAUAGUGUACUCUUUUUUUUUCACUAGAGUUUUUGUCCCGUUGGAUUUUUUCCUAGUAAGGUUUUAAUAAGACAUAUUCUUUGUGUAAUUAAUAUCCAAUGGGGAGUGUUAUGAAAUAACUAAAAGUGUGGAUGUCCAUUUGUAUUCUCAAGAAGAUCAAUUCAUAAUUCAUUGCUCCCAAGAGAAUUAAUUCAUAAUUUAUUGCUACAUUAUGUAAAGGAAUUACAUUGGAUGAUCGGUUUCAAUCCAUAAGAGCUAUUCAUGUAUUGGAUGAACCAUUUCAUAUGGCUAUUCAUGUUCUUGUAGUAACGAGUGUUUAAUAGAAUUGAUGUACCUUUAAUUUUGUAGUACCUAUAUAUAGAUGUACCUUAGCUGAUAGGUUGCAAUUUUAUCAUUUAUUUUAUAAUUAAUUUCUCCUAUUACCUGACUUGAUGUGGAUUAAUUGCGGGAUUCUACUCACUUUUAGUAUUUUGCAUUUAUUUCAGGGAGUAGAGCGAAAAUAUAAUAACAGGUGCUAAUUUGACAAAAAAAGAGUCCAAGGCACAGAGCUUAUCCCGGGGGCAUUAUUGGCAAAGGAAGACUUUUGCCCAUUUUGGUAAUUUCAAAAGAAGAGAGCAGGGCAGAGGCCUCUAUUUUACUGGAGGCUGGAGCGCCGCACAAAGGGAGCUUCUUCUUCCUUCGGAGGCUCCGUCCUCUCCGCAAGGGGGCUGCCGCACACAGCAGCCAUUAGAAUAGGAGCAAUUGAUAUAUGACAGAGAAUGAGCACUAGCACCAGGGAGUUGCCUUUGUUGACUUUUCUUCCCUUUUAGUUCUUAGUAGUUGUUUUACCUUCCUCGUACGUAGGACCUUUAGCAUAGUUUCCUUUUGACUUUCCCUUGAGUCUUGGGUGGAUGUCUCCUGCGCAUGUCAGGAGCAAUUGAAGGUCUCGGUCACUUUCUGUAUUCUUCCAUCAACUGAGCGAACUGAGCUCCCUUGGUCAAGGGCAAUGGCUGCGGCUUCCUCUCCAACUUUGUGUGGGAUUCGUUCACCAGGAAUGAACUAAUUUUUCUUUUCUAGUCAAGGAACAACGGAGGUCUUGGUUGGCCUAAAUUUGUGAGAUCGAAUUAGUUUUUAUUUAUUUCCAUUAUUCACUGGUAUUUGUCUAUCUUCUGCUUUAUGUUCAUAUGGUUGUUUUAUUAUUCGAUUAUCCAGGGCCCGGAUACUAGAUUAAUUCAAUAACCUGAAGCCAAUUAGGAUAGUUAAAUCCGUAAUUGUUUAAUUAUUCUAAACUGCUGGCAACUGGCAUGAUUGGGUUUGUGUCAGGGGGAUAAACAUGCUAACUUAAAGAGACCCUCGUAGCGUGUUGAUUGGUUAGAAUUAGGCUCUUCUAAUUAUUCAUGCAAUUAGGGAAUUGAACUUCUAUGGUCGUACCUAGGGUUAUUUCCUGAUUAGAGAAAUAGUCAACGGUCGUACCUUGGCUAUCGACAAAUUGAGGAAGAGUUGGUUGUUUAUCGCGUGUAUGGCAACUAUAACUAAUUUAUCAGAUAGUAACUGGAAUAAUCCUUGCAUCUGUGAUCGAAUUAAGUGAACCAUCUCCGAAGUUGUCUCUUGGCUAGAGUUCGUCAAUUAUUAUUUUUAUUGUGAUAAUUAGUUAUUUGAGUUGUAGUUAUUUUAUUUUAUUUAUUCCAAGUAAUUUAGUUACUCUCAUUUUCAAAAACCCCCCAUAUCUGGAACUUGAGAAGAAAUUAAAUUAUCCCCAGUCCCUGUGGAUUCGACCCUGCUCACCGCUAUAUACAGAAUUUGUAUUUUAUUUGAGCAGGUAUUUAUUAUUGCACAGGUUCGGCACCUGUCAAUUUUUUGCUACAUUAUGUAAAGGAAUUACAUUGGAUGAUCGGUUUCAAUCCAUAAGAGCUAUUCAUGUAUUGGAUGAACCAUUUCAUAUGGCUAUUCAUGUUCUUGUAGUAACGAGUGUUUAAUAGAAUUGAUGUACCUUUAAUUUUGUAGUACCUAUAUAUAGAUGUACCUUAGCACCUCUUGGGUGUACUUUUUGAUUAGUUGGAAUAAUAAAAAAAUCAUUCUCCAUUUCUGUACUUCUUUCUCUAAUAUUUCAAUUCCUAUCACAGUAGUUAUUUUUUUUUAGCUUUACAACAUUACUUAAAUAAGAGAGUUAUUGGACUAUAUGUUUAUUGACCUCUACUAACUUAUUUAAGGUCAUUUCAUAUCACUAUCCAAAGAAGAAUUAAGGUCAUUUCAUAUCACUAUCCAAAGAACAAUUCUUGGGCGCUAACAUUUUUCUUACAUGACUAUUAAUGAAAGUUGACCCAAAUCUCUCUGUCUCUCUCUUUCUUUCAAUUCUUAGGACUGAUGCCAAUUCUUACCAUUUAGAAAGAAAAAUUAGAUUGUUUAUAUAUAUGAUGAGUUCCCUCUAAGUCAUGGUUAAGAAAAAUUCUUAGUUAAACGCAGUUUUAUGAAAUGUGAAUUUCCUUUUCUUUGUCUUUAUUCAUUAGUAUUAUUGGGGUUAUUGUAUUAUGAUUGCAAUGCACAGAUACAUGGAUUUUUGACAUUUUUUCUUUUUAAUUGACUCUGACUAUGCCUCAAACUCGAGACAUCAAACCUGGACACGACUUUUGUCCAAAAUGCUUGUAAAAAUUCAGAAGAAUAAUUUUGGACCUUAUUAUUUGAUAAUGGUACAAUUAUGAGAGUCAUUCCAGGUUAAUUAUCAAACUUGGAACUUGAAAAUAAUGUCGACAUCAUGUCAUUAUUAUUUUUUAGUUUCAUAGAAAAAUGAAGUAUUCUCCAACUCGACAUUAUCAUAGUAUUUUCAAUUGGCAGCUCAUGUGAGAAAGACAAGAAAUUCACAAUCAACUGGCCAAGAGAGUGCCAACAAAGAAAGCACUAAAUGGCUUAAACAAUGCAUGCAAAUUUGCUUGGCACUUAAACAAUAGACACCUAAAUCAACCAUGUCACUGUCUUGCCAAAAAAGGGCAUUAAAGUAAAAACAACUCAUGCCUACCACAGGUAACAAACUUCAGCACCUUCACUUCACUACCAUGUCAGCAACAACAUUUGCAAAUUUCCAAGGAAGUCCACGCACUAAAGGUGCCCAUGCCCUUAGGGGACCUCAGGUUAGUGUUCUUAACCUCAACUCCUGUCUUUCUGUUCUUAGGAAAUAUUGAAAUUAAACGUUAUAACUAAUCCUGAUUUCCUUGUGCUAUAUUUGUACACAAUUUGGCAACAAGGGUAAAAAAAAAUAAAAAUAAAAAGGUUUAUCUGCAAACUGUAGUUCGGCCUGGCUCUUUUUUUUUUUUUUUUUUUUGGGGAUAAGAUCAUCUCAGCACCCGCAGACCCCGUCAUGUAUCAAUAUUUCUGUACUUAGCAUUGGCUUCUUCUCGCCUGAAGAACACACGAACCACCGAAAUAGAUGGUGCAUGAAAGUGCACUUAACCCUUUUAAUUUUUCAAAACAAUCUUUUAGAAAAAAUAAUAAAAACUUUUUGAAUUUAAUUUUAGAGAAGAAGAAUUUUAAAAUUUUUUGAAUUUAAUCUUAGAGAAGAAGAAGUUUAAAAUGUACUUUAAUUUUCACAACUGAUGAUGAAAAUAGCAAAAUGUACACGGAUAGUGACAAAAGUGGGAUCACGGGCAGGAAAUCCUGAAGGUUGCGUGCAUUUUACACACGGCAUAAUUCUGUUUGUAUAUAGUGUAAUUUACUUUUUACAACGUGUAAUUUUAAAACAAAAUUUUGUAAGUCUCACACAUUUUAUUAAAAAUAAGGUACAAGAUGAAAUUUGGACCAUAUAAUUUUUUUUAAUCAAAUCUUGACCGUGAACUGCUCAGAAACGGUUUACCUGAUGACCGUCCCUGGUCCAAACCCGACAAAGGUGCCAUCUUAUCCUUUUACUGACUGGCCCGUUUUCCAAUGAGAGGGCCCAGAAGGGGUGCCUCUGCUUCAUAGUUUAUCCAUAUUGAUAUUUCUUUUCUGUCCCCCUAACUAUUAAAUGUGAAAGGUUGCCCACCAAAUUUGACGAAACCGUUUAUCCUAAUUGAUUAUUAUCAAUAGGGCAUAACUUUAAUAUUCUUCUUCCAACCCUUUCUGGUGAUUCCUGCAACUCCAGCCGUCCGUCAAUGACCAUAAAGCACCAUUAACCGACAACUAACUAACCACUAUUAAUCUAUUCUCAAAUUUUAAUGAAAUUGCACAAUCUAUUCUCAAAUCAAAUUUGAACAACAUUUUAUAGUCGAUAACUUUGAAACUUGAUAAAAAAGUCUGUUUAAACUCGGUUUAGUAAAUAAACAAAUCAAGUUUGAACAAAAUUUUAAACUCAUUAAAAUAAUUAAACACGUUUGAAUAUUAGGGUAUUCGAUUUAAUUAGACACGUUUGUAUCCCUAAUUAAAGCAUGCACUUUUAUAAGUUUAGGAAUCAACAUUAUACAUUUAAUAGCUAGCUAGAGGGUCAAAAAGUUAAUUGCCUUAAAUUCUUUUAGCAGCCAUAAGGUACAGUUGGAGGGAUUCCCUUGAAAUUGGUUAGAUUCUUCUAUGUGACUAAAGAAUUUCGGGUGUGACGCAUUACUAGUCCUACCCUAAAAAAAAAUGGUAUUACUAGUCCUUUUUUUCUUUUUUGGCGUGCCCCCGUCGUGGGAUGUGGGGAGGGGAGUCUGUGCGAGAAUUCUAGGUCGGGGUACAAGGAGCCAAAGUUCACCUUAUUCAAAGUAAACAACCGUCCAUCUCAGUUGUCGACUUUCCUGUCGAUUGCGUAUAUAUAUAUAUUACUAUCUUUUACCAUGACUUUAGAGGAUAGCUAAUUUUGCUUGCUAUUAAAUAAUAAUUUCGGUAGUCUAUAAAUACUCUUGUUCCUCACCGCUCCUAGCACCACAUAAUUCCUUCAAGAACAGCCAAAACCUUCUUGAAAUCCCUCUUUUUCCUUCUAGUUCAUUUCCAAGAAACAAAUGGCCCCUGUCACUUCCAGUUAUGAGGUCACCUCCUCAAUCCCUCCUGCAAGGUUGUUCAAGGCCACCAUCCUCGAAGAGAAGCAUCUUCACAAGAUCUUGCCACAGGGCGUUAAGAGUGUCGAAAUCCUUGAAGGAGAUGGUGGAGUUGGCACAAUUAAGUUGACCACAUUUGUUGACGGUAAGAUAAUCAAUACAAAGUGAUUAUUUUCACACAUUUGAAGUCUUCAAAUUUUUCUCUUUUUUUCCCUUUUAUUUGGGAAAAACUAAUGACUUUUUUUUUUUGGUUGGGUUAAAUAUUUAGGUGGCGAGCAUAAGACUGCCAAACAGAGAGUUGAUGGAAUUGACAAAGAAAAAUUUACAUACAGCUAUACUGUACUUGAAGCUGAUGGAUUUAACGAUGUAAUCGAGAAAAUCUGUUGUGUCAUCAAAUUUGAACCCUCUGCUGAUGGAGGUUCAAUCUGCAAAACCACUAACACAUACUACCCCAAAGGUGGUGCUCAGAUCAGUGAGGAACACCUCAAGGGAGGAAAAGAGAUGGGUUUGGGAAUGGUUAAGGCUGUUGAGGCAUACCUCCAUGCAAAUCCUACUGCCUACAACUAAUUAUAAUGAAUGCUACUGCAAGGACUCUUCGACAUAUUUUCUUCAAGAUUGAAGUAUAAACUGAGGGUGUCUGUUUCCUUUUUUGCUUGGUUUGCUUAAGCUGUUUGGUUAAGUUAUUCGCAGCAAGAGAAUAAAAUAAUUCAUUUGCUGUUUUUAGAUAUGAAUUCAUGACUGUCAGUAGUCUAUAAAUACACUUAUUGCUCACCACUCUUUGCACCGCAAAAUCUUUUCAAGAUCCAUCAAACCCUCCUGUUCUUGAUCUUUCUCCAUUUGUGAAAAAACAAAUUAAAGCAUCAUGGCCCCUAUCACUUGUAGUGCUGAGAUGACCUCCCCAAUGCCUCCUGCAAGGUUGUUCAAGGCCGCCAUCCUUGAUGACCACCUUCUUCCCAAGAUCAUGCCACAGGCUAUUAAAAGUGGAAAUUCUUGAAGGAGAUGGUGGAGUUUGAACCAUUAAGUUGAGCACAUUUGGUGACGGUUAGAUGUUAUAUUAAAUGUAGAACCCAAAUUUUAAGGAUCUAAUAAUAAUCAAUUAAUAAUAAUCAAUGCGUGCAGGGUUACAGAAUUGGAGGGAUAAAACAAAUACUCAAAUAAAUGUGGAAGAAAAGAAAAUAAUAAAUUCAACUCACAAAAUUAUUGAAAUUUCAAACAAUGAAAAAAAUCAUACCUUAAUAAAUUCAGUUGGUUUUAAUAAUAAUCAAAGCAUACAAGGUUAAAGAAUUAAAAGGAUAAAACAAACACUCAAAAUAUAUGUGGGAGAGAAGAAAAUAAUAAAUUCAACACACAAUAUUAUUGAAAUCUCAAACAAUGAAAAAAGUCACACCAUAAUAGAAAAUCUUGCAAAUUCUUCUAGAUUCUUUCUCUUGAGAAACCAACCUAAAUAAUGUUCUAUUUAUAAUCUACCAAACUUGUUAGGAAAGAAACCACUUGCAUAAGAAAUUACCAAAUAAAACAGAAAUUCCUAAAUCACACAACUACUAAAAACAUAACUCAAAUAAAACUAAAAAAUAAAUAAAUUUUUCUUGGCUUAGUUUAAUUUGUUAACAUUGCCUCCCUUAAACCAAACUAUCCAUUGAGAUAUGUUCAACACCAUCUCGAGUAACAAUUUCUAUGCAAAUCUAUGUUGUAGUAUACUUGACAUGAAACUCUAACUUGUUACCAGUUAUUAAUUUCAUCUUUACACGUAACAGUGGACGUACUAUGUAUUUUGUAAAAAAUUUCUCAACAAUUUCUUCUUGAUCAAAGUACUCAUUUAUACAAACCCAUUCAUCACCAGAAUCAUCAUAUUUACCACCAAUGUAAGUUCCUAAAAAUACAAAAUCAUUGCUUGCUUUCUCGCUAAAAUUAUCAUAACCAAAUAAUUUAAAAUAGCCACUACUACAAUCAUCCAAAAUUUUCAUACUGUCAGUCAACUCUUUUGGAGUAAAAUAUUUUUCAACUAUAAUGACAUCCAUAUCUAUCAAAUCAAGCAUUCUCCCAUCACUUUGAAGAAAGUCCGAACCAACGAAUUUUUCAACAACAAUUUCAUGAUCUCUUCUCUUAUCAAGUCAAAAUUUUCUUCUUCUUUUGUCAAAUUACCAUAUUAUUGUUUCAACAAAUUCAUUACUUCUAAUUUCUCCAAACAAGGUACGCAAAUCAAAACUAUCAAUUGAUUCAAAAUUUUCGAUAUCACCCAUAUUAUCAACAAAUCUAUCAUUUUUAAAAUCCACAAACCAAUACCAACAACUAGACUUCGGUUUGAAAGCAUAAUUUCUCUCAAUCGUGUGCAAAACAAAGUAAAUAUCCUUCCAAAAUCUCUAAAGUAUUUUAGUAUGACCAAUAAAGGUUUUAUAAAUACUUUCUGCCAUUAUUUUACACAUCACUUGAAAGAAUAAUUGUGCUUUUUUUCUUAAAAACAUGUUUUGCCAACUUACUUGCAUCAACCCAACAAAGAAUAUCAUCCAAAUUACAUUGUUUGAGAUAUUUUUCCACUGUUAAAAUUCAGCCAAAAUAUGUAUGUCUAUUUGUGUUUAUAGGAGUCAAUAUGGAAAAUUUUUCACCAUCAAUCAGAUCUUUAUAAUAUUCCAUUAUUUAACAAUUUGUAUACCUGAAUAAAUUUUUUUCCUCCAUCCUGUCAUGUUUUCUUGGCCUCCUUGGUUGACUGACCAAAUUAUUGUUGUAUGUAUACCCAUGCUUGUCAAACCUCAUUCGUGUACACUCGUAAGGAGUGGUUUUGAGCUUACUGUGAAUGCUUAAUACCAAGAAGUAGAAGAGAGAAUGCAUAAGAGAGAAUUAACUUGGCUAAAGAAUUGGGAAGCAAUUUAGGGAUUUUUUAAGAAAUUAAUUCUCCAACCGCCACUUUUGGAAAUUUCUAUCAACAACUAGUUACCAAAACACUAGGACAGCGAUCCGUCUCUAUUUUACUCUUCAAGUCUUCGCCGGGGAAGCAACCCGGCCUUGCGAGACUAUAAUGAAUAGGCACUUGCCUUCUGUUUUUACUUUUUUUUUGUUCAAAGACUAUAAUGCCCUUAUUAUUUGACUGCGCAUCUCGCAAGAUAAUGCUUUCCAUCAAAAUUAACUGUUGGGUUUGACAGAAGCGCCACGAAUAUUCUAUUUUAUUAGAUCCAGAGUCAAAAUUUUACCGUUAAUUGUUAGAGGGUUAAAACUUUAUCUGGAAAGGAGUUGGAGGGCCAUUGGAACUCUUUUUCCAAAAAAAAAAAAAAGUCACUUUUGUCAUUUGUCCAAGAACAGUUCUGGGGCCAUCUCGACAGUAUAUAUUUUUCUUACAUGCCAAGACAAUUAAUGAAAAUUGACCAAUAACACACGCACACACACACACACACACACACACUCUCUCUCUCUCUCUCUCUCUCUCUCGGUUGCUGCCAAGUCUUUCCAUUGAAAAAGGAAAAUUCAUAUUGUUUACAUAGAUAAAUUACCUCCAGUCCGUGGAAUGUCUUGAUGUUAGGUGAGUUCUAAUAUUUUGGUAUCAUCUAGAGGUGGCAAAUCAACCCACUUAACUAAAUUUACCCAUAUCCGCCCAUGAAUAGAUGGGUAUGGAUAUCUUAAAUUUUUGUAUAUGAGUAUAAAUGGGUUACCCAAUAAUACCCAUUUAAAUGGGUAACCCAUCAAACCCAAUUAACCCAUUUAGAAUUCUCUUCCCCUCAAGUCUCUUCUUUUCCCCCACCUUUUUUUUUUUCAAAUUUUUCAUUUUGUCAUGAUGUUAACUACUUUUGUUUUAUUAUUAUUAUUUGUUGGUUUUAUCUUAUUAUUUUAUUUUCUCUUAGUUUGUUAACUUACUCAUUUUUUACCAUUACCAAUUUAUGAUAAAUUUUAGCCUAUUUUCUUAUCUUUAUAAAAUGAAAUUUUAAAUUUAUAUAUGAAAAAAAUGUUAGGGGUUCAAAAAUUUUGGAUUAAGUUUUUAUAUUAAUUUUUAUAGUACUUAGUUCAAAAUUUUAUAUUCUUAUUAUUCAAUUAUUAAAUAAUAGGUAAUUUUGUGACAUAGAGUAUAAAUGAAAAAAAAUUGGUAAUUAAGUUUAUUGAACAUUAUAAGUAAAUAUUUAAAACUAAUGAUGGGUAUAAAGAGUGAUAUAAAUUGAUAACUUAGUUUGCAAAAAUGAAUUUAAAUGAGUUUGCAAAAAGUUAAAAUAAAUGGGUUAUAAAUGGGUAAUUGGGUUACCCAAUUCAUUUUUUGACUUGCCUAUUUAUACCCAUAUAAUUAAAUGGGUAUAAAUGAGUUGACUCACUUAUACCCAUUACCCAUUUUACCCAACUCAAACCCGCCCAAGUCACCCAUUUUGACACCUUUAGUAUCAUCUAAUGUUCAUUUGUGAAAGAUUGAGAAAUGAUAAAGAGCAAAACACCAAUUUAUUCCAUAAAUUAUUUUGCUAAAAUCAAAAUAGUCCAUAAAUUUUCUUUUGGCCAAAUUUUUGUCAUGAACUUUCAGAAACGGUUGCAGGGGAUUUCAUCCGGAUUGCUUGUGCAGUUGAGUAACUAUACAGAAAUUCUUUUUGGGAUGCUGAGUAUCUUAGGAUGGGUACAAUGAUCGCUUAGAUCAGUAGAGAUGAUUGAUGAUGUAGUAGGGGAAGAUUCCCUUUAUAAAGCUGAUUUUCUCAUGAUUAAUAAGAAUAUAAAUGUUACCAAAUUUUCUUUUCAAAUGUGUAACGAAAAUAUUGGCCAUGAUCAGCAAGACCUCCUUAAUUAUAAAAGUUUCUUGAAUGUCAUCAUCCAAUUUGUUUAAGCGAGGAUUUUUAAAUGCUAUCUUUAAGCAAAUUGAUUUUUGUAUUAUAGAUACUUACUACUAUUACUUCAUACCUAGCUACAAACCUCAUGUAUGUUUUAGUUUUAAUCCAGAACAAAUCAGGGCCACGGGCCACCUUGCACAUAGCGAGAGUGGAAAAAUAAAACUACACAAUUGCUUUUUUGAAGCCAGUGACUCAACUGAUUUUGCGCUCGGCAAUUCAUCCGAUUUUCAUUAAAAGGGCCCUAAGAGGCCAUUGGCGUUUUGGGCCUGUGAAAAUUUGGAUGAUUUGGUGUGUCCAAUGCAUGUGUAAGCACAAAUUUUGUUGUCUAAAAUAAAAGACAAGAAAACUUACAUAAAUAUCAAAUUUAUUAAAUUAAAUAACAAGAGGGUUACAAUAUUUGAAAAUUUUUGAAUCAAAGAAAUUAAUCUCCUAAUUUUUAUCUUCAAAAGGCUUUAAUCGGAAGGCCAAAAAGGCUUGUUCUCCGAUCAAGAGGGUGUUUUCUAUGAUUUCUAUGUAAAAAACGGCUGCUUUGAUGAUGACGUUAAUAUUUGAAUCUUUAAAUCUUCAACGCCGAUGGAAGGAGGAUUUAUUUAACUUAAUUUGGAUUUGGAUUUGAAUUUGAGGGAAAAAGCUCUCAAGAGAAUUUGACAAAGUUACUUUGAAAUUUAGGAAUUUUAAUGUAUUUUUGCCUUGAGGGAAGACCUUUAUUUAGAGUCAACAUAUGCAAGCUAUGUCUUCAAGAGAAUCCUUCAAAACCAUCUUGCGUUUGGGUAACUUGUACCUUAAGAAACCCAUUUAACUUGGAGUUAAAUAGUCGGCCGACCCAAAUAGUCAAUUGUGAAUUAACAAAUCAAUUAAAUCACUUUAAUUUAAAUGGGCAUCACAUUUUUUAUUUGAUUUAAUAGCUCAUAUAACAUUGGCUCAAUUUGUCAAUCCAAAACAUAAUGAACUUCUAUAAUUUAAUUUAAUUUAAUAAAAAUCAAUUUAAUUUACUUAAUCUUGCCUAAAAAUAAAUUAAAUAAAUUUUCGUUGUCUAUGUCCCCACUUCAAAACUUGGCAAGGCAUUGCAUGUUUAUUUGAAUUAACUUAAAACUUCUUAAUACGAUUCAUCUAAGCACCUUUAUAUAUAUAUAUAUAUAUAUAUAUAUAUAUAUAUAUAUAUUUAUUUAUUUAUUUAUAUAUAGAGGUACAGAAGACAUGUCUUUGUCUUGAAACUGUGACAAACAGGACACUUAAGACAAGGGCGUGUGAAGACUAUCGCACUAUUUGAGCGAAAAAAACCUGUUUUGCACGUAUAUUUUGAAGGUAAUCAUCUUUAUUGUCUUUUGACAACUUCAUGUUGGUCGAGUAUCAGAUAUUCACCAAAUUUUGUUGAAAUUUGUCAAAACUUGAUUUGUUUCCAAUUUGGAGAAAAAAAAAGAUUUUUUUCUUCGUUUCUGCAAUUUUCCAGGUCACUCUUUCCUAUCAACAUGUUACGAUUCAGAAAUUGAGACAAAUCUUGUACAUAGGAAUCUUUUUUAACAGCUGAUGGUUGGAAUUUAGCAGACACCUUGAAGUCAAAGAAGGCAAAUAGCAUUCCAAUAGCAUUAUUUGGUUGCAUGCCAUAUCCAAGAUUUUCACUAGUAAGCCACCAUUUUCUUGCUUUUGAUUGUUAUUCAUUCUCUGUUGCGCAAUUUUAUUUUCGCACAAUCUAUUUUUUUCGUUGAAUUUUCUCUUUUGCAAAACAGCGACCACCAAGGAAAGACAGAAAGAUUUUUUUGUUUUUGUUUUUGUUUUUGUUUUUGUUUUUUUUUUUAUGGUUGCACCUUGUGUUGGCACCCCUUAUUUGAAGCAAGUUGAUGUUCCAGUUGUGUUGGGGAUUUUAGGGCCAUAGCUCUUAGAACUCAAAAUACUAAUGUAAUUUCCGCACUCCAUGACAUUUACUUCUUGUCAAUGCCAAACUCUCCUCUUUUUUUUUGUGAUAUGAAAGGAAGAUCUCUCGUUGCAACAUAUAUGGUGGACACUCAAUUUGAAAGAAGGUGCAACCACCAACUUGCACGAGAGCCAUAUCAUGGUUUGAGGAGUAUAAUGAAAAUGAUGCAACUGCAAACUCUUAUGAGAGCCAUAUCAUGGUUGAGAAGUACAAUGAAGAUAGUGCAAUCAAAAAUUUGAAAAAGGUGCAAUCGCAAACUCCCAUGAGAGCCUAUCAUGGAUUGAGGAGUACAACGAAGAAUGUGCCACAAAAAGUUGAAAAAUGUGCAAUCGCAAACUCGCACGAGAGCCUAUCAUGGUUUGAGGAGUACAAUGAAGAAGGUGCAACUACCCACUUCAAUGAGAGCUUACCAAAACUCGAGAAGCCCUUUCAUUUAACUUCACAUUGACUAUUUAUUACUUCUCUCACUGUCUUCGAUCACACCAUUGUAAUCAAAUUUUUUUCUCUUGCUUUUGGUCCUAACGAAAUGGUGAUGGUCAAGGAAGUUACAUCUUCAAACAAAAGGCACCUCCUUAUCACUAAUAGCCAUGAUGACUCUGCUGACAAAGGAACGAAAUUAUUGGUGCAUCCCUCUAUACAAGAAAUUUACUCUGGUGAUUGGUUUUCUCACAAGUAUUCCGAAUUAAAGGAUUGGUCACUAAAAUUUUCUCAAGAUGAUGGUACGAAAGUUCACUCCUUGAAAUUCCUUAUCAUAAUAAGGAGCCAAGGACAAUUGGCAGGCGAAUCCUAGAUGAGACUAAGGGUGCAAACGAGGCAAGUCGAAUCGAGUUUUGAAGUUAUUGAGUCGAGUUACACUUAUUUAUAUGCGAGCUCGAGUUCGAGGUCGAAAAAUAGAGCUCGAACUCGGCUCGAUGUAGGAAAAGGAAAACUCGAGAUCGACUCGCUUAUGGCUCGCGAGUUUAGCUCGAAUUCUGGCUCGCGAGCAGCUCGAGUUUUGCUAGAUUUUCUGGCUCGCAUGAAGCUCGAAGUCAGCUCGAUUCUAGCUCGUUAGGAGCUCCAGUUCGAACUCGAAAACAGCUCGAUUUUCUGGAAAUUUAUGCAAGAAAACAGAAUUUUUGUCCGCAUAUUUUUGAUAAAAUUUGAGCAUGAUAACAAUAAGUUUUCACAUAUUCUUGAUCUUGAGGCCUACAAAUUAUGCACUAAUACAAUCAUAAAUGUCCAAAUGUCCACUAAUACAAAUUAUCCAAAUGUCCACAAAUGUCCACUAAUACAAAUUAUCCAAAUGUCCACAAGAAGUCUGAAGAAUACCAGCUUGUUGUCCACAAAAACCAAGGCAUGACAUGAAGCGAGAAUUUCCUGACUGCGUCCUGGAACUUUACUCAUUUCUGUCUCUAAUUCCUCAUGAUCAGUUAGUCCACCAACAUUGAACAAUAUGGAUCAGGAAUGGGGAAAAAUCACUUUCUAACACUCAAGAUCACAUACAACUCAUAUCCAACAAAUAUCCUGAAGUUUCAUGAGUAUAAUCACAUUAAAAGAGAAAAGGAUACUGACAAGCAUGCUAAUCAAACUCAAGCAGAAAAGGUACUUUCUCCUUGCCGUCUCCGACAUCCCAGCCAGCAAAUGGCUGGGGUUCGUGACAGCUGUUUGGGUCCAAUCCAUCUCCGGCAACAACUAUACCUUCUCCAAUUACUCCGACGCCCUCAAAUCACUCAUGGCCCUCACUCAGCUCCAACUCAACAACCUCUCCGUCGCCAAUUGAUGUCAUUAAAGCAGAAAAUCGGCCUGAUGGCCUCCACCAGCUGCCAUCCCUAAUCCAAGAAGGUCGAGUGUAGUAUGCUUAGGACCAAAUACAGAUGGAGUUCCCAACAUCAGUUCCUUCAAGCUAGACCCACCAUCACACGGCAGCCCUAGUCCUAGGCCUACUACCAAUGAUGCACUAUCAGACUCAAUUGCCCUCCCACUCUUCGCCCGGAAAGACAGUGGUGAAAAGAGGUAAGGAGGUGGCGGCAAAGAGCGACGGGUUAGCCAAAGUUAGAAGAUCCUCUUUUUCUAGAUUUGCAAGUUUCCUACUCUAGAGACAAAAAUGUCCUUGAUAUUUGGUCGUGCAUCUUACAAGAUAAUGCUUUCCGUCAAUUUUAACCGUUGGAUUUGACGGAAGGGCCAUGAAUAUGCUAUUUUAUUAGAUCGAGAGCCAAAAUUUUACCGUUAAUUGUUGGAGGGUUAAAACUUUAUCUGGAAAAGAGUUGGAGGGCCAUUGGAACUCUUUUUCCAAAAAAAAAAAGUCACUUUUGUCAUUUGUCCGAGAACAGUUCAGGGGCCAUCUCGACAGUAUAUAUUUUUCUUACAUGCCAAGACAAUUAAUGAAAAUUGACCAAUAACACACGCACACACACGCGCACGCACACACACACACACUCUCUCUCUCUCGGUUGCUGCCAAGUCUUUCCACUGAAAAGGAAAAUUCAUAUUGUUUACAUAGAUAAAUUACCUCCAGUCCGUGGAAUGUCUUGAUGUUAGGUGAGUUCCAAUAUUUUGGUAUCAUCUAAUGUUCAUUUGUGAAAGAUUGAGAAAUGAUAAAGAGCAAAACACCAAUUUAUUCCAUAAAUUAUUUUGCUAAAAUCAAAAUAGUCCAUAAAUUUUCUUUUGGCCAAAUUUUUGUCAUGAACUUUCAGAAACGGUUGCUUCCUGCAACCGUUGGUGAGGGAUUUCAUCCGGAUUGCUUGUGCAGUUGAGUAACUAUACAGAAAUUCUUUUUGGGAUGCUGAGUAUCUUAGGGUGGGUACAAUGAUCGCUUAGAUCAGUAGAGAUGAUUGAUGAUGUAGUAGGGGAAGAUUCCCUUUAUAAAGCUGAUUUUCUCAUGAUUAAUAAGAAUAUAAAUGUUACCAAAUUUUCUUUUCAAAUGUGUAACGAAAAUAUUGGCCAUGAUCAGCAAGACCUCCUUAAUUAUAAAAGUUUCUUGAAUGUCAUCAUCCAAUUUGUUUAAGCGAGGAUUUUUAAAUGCUAUCUUUAAGCAAAUUGAUUUUUGUAUUAUAGAUACUUACUACUAUUACUUCAUACCUAGCUACAAACCUCAUGUAUGUUUUAAUCCAGAACAAAUCAGGGCCAUGGGCCACCUUGCACAUAGCGAGAGUGGAAAAAUAAAACUACACAAUUGCUUUUUUGAAGCCAGUGACUCAACUGAUUUUGCGCUCGGCAAUUCAUCCGAUUUUCAUUAAAAGGGCCCUAAGAGGCCAUUGGCGUUUUGGGCCUGUGAAAAUUUGGAUGAUUUGGUGUGUCCAAUGCAUGUGUAAGCACAAAUUUUGUUGUCUAAAAUAAAAGACAAGAAAACUUACAUAAAUAUCAAAUUUAUUAAAUUAAAUAACAAGAGGGUUACAAUAUUUGAAAAUUUUUGAAUCAAAGAAAUUAAUCUCCUAAUUUUUAUCUUCAAAAGGCUUUAAUCGGAAGGCCAAAAAGGCUUGUUCUCCGAUCAAGAGGGUGUUUUCUAUGAUUUCUAUGUAAAAAACGGCUGCUUUGAUGAUGACGUUAAUAUUUGAAUCUUUAAAUCUUCAACGCCGAUGGAAGGAGGAUUUAUUUAACUUAAUUUGGAUUUGGAUUUGAAUUUGAGGGAUAAAGCUCUCGACAGAAUUUGACAAAGUUACUUUGAAAUUUAGGAAUUUUAAUGUAUUUUUGCCUUGAGGGAAGACCUUUAUUUAGAGUCAACUUAUGCAAGCUAUGUCUUCAAGAGAAUCCUUCAAAACCAUCUUGCGUUUGGGUAACUUGUACCUUAAGAAACCCAUUUAACUUGGAGUUAAAUAGUGGUCCGACCCAAAUAGUCAAUUGUGAAUUAACAAAUCAAUUAAAUCACUUUAAUUUAAAUGGGCAUCAUAUUUUUUAUUUGAUUAAAUAGCUCAUAUAACAUUGGCUCAAUUUGUCAAUCCAAAACAUAAUGAACUUCUAUAAUUUAAUUCAAUUUAACUAAGAUCAAUUUAAUUUACUUAAUCUUGACUAAAAAUAAAUUAAAUAAAUUUUCGUUGUCUAUGUCCCCACUUCAAAACUUGGCGAGGCAUUGCAUGUUAAUUGCUGGAGGCAAGACUUGAAGUAUUAAUUUUACUGCUGACCUAAAGUCAAACUAAAUUAAAGACUUCAAGCGUUCGGCAUACGGGUGAUCCACUUUUUUUUUUUUUUUUUUUUUUUCCUUUUUCUUUGGGAAGAGAAUGGUCCACAUCAAUUGUAGAAUUGCACCUCAAAGUCCAAUUGAAUAGGCAACGGUCACGGGUCUUCACUUUCACCUACUACUUGAAUAAAGCCUUGAAGCUCUUGAAUUUUCCAACUCUUAAUUUAGUCGUCAAUGGAAGUGCAGCCCCACAAUAUUAGACCGCAACUUUGACCCGUAGAAUUAGAAACCCCCGUUUGAUUAUGCGAUGUGGGCUCCUGCGCAGAAACUCCCAUAUGCUGAAAUUUGGAGUUUGCUCGUACGUUUCUGACCACCAAAUCUUGUUUUGGCACUUGGCAAUAUGGAAUUUGCUGAGUUUCAACGCUUCCUAAACGGAACUUUAAUGUAUUUCCAAAACCAAUGUUUGCAACUUCUGAAUAAGAAUAUGCCAAAUUUUAAGAGCUUCCCAAAUUGACUUCCAGCCAUUGAAAUUAUUCUUGGGAACCAAAUUCAAAUGAUUUCCAAAAAGUUAAACGAUAAUCACUGAAUUUAGUAUCUGUCCAAAACUUAAAACUUCUUAAUAUGAUUCAUCUAAGCACCUUUAUAUAUAUAUAUAUAUAUAUAUAUAUAUAUAUAUAUAUAGGUACAGAAGACAUGUCUUUGUCUUGAAACUGUGACAAACAGGACAUUUAUGACAAGGGCGUGUGAAGACUACCACGCUAUUUGAGGGAAAAAAAACCUGUUUGACACGUAUAUCUUGAAGGUAAUCAUCUUUAUUGUCUUUUGACAACUUCAUGUUGGUCGAGUAUCAGAUAUUCACCAAAUUUUGUUGAAAUCUGUCAAAACUUGAUUUGUUUCUAAUUUGGAGAAAAAAAAAGAUUUUUUUCUUCGUUUCUGCAAUUUUCCAGGUCACUCUUUCCUCUCAACAUGUUACGAUUCAGAAAUUGAGACAAAUCUUGUACAUAGGAAUCUUUUUUAACAGCUGAUGGUUGGAAUUUAGCAGACACCUUGAAGUCAAAGAAGGCAACUAGCAUUCCAAUAGCAUUAUUUGGUUGCAUGCCAUAUCCAAGAUUUUCACUAGUAAGCCACCAUUUUCUUGCUUUUGAUUGUUAUUCUUUCUCUGUUGCACAAUUUUAUUUUCGCACAAUCCAUUUUUUUUCUUUGAAUUUUCUCUUUUGCAAAACAGAGACCACCAAGGAAAGACAGAAAGAUUUUUUGUUUUUGUUUUUGUUUUUGUUUUUGUUUUUGUUUUUUUUUUUUAUGGUUGCACCUUGUGUUGGCACCCCUUAUUUGAAGCAAGUUGAUGUUCCAGUUGUGUUGGGGAUUUUAGGGCCAUAGCUCUUAGAACUCAAAAUACUAAUGUAAUUUCCGCACUCCAUGACAUUUACUUCUUGUCAAUGCCAAACUCUCCUCUUUUUUUUUGUGAUAUGAAAGGAAGAUCUCUCGUUGCAACAUAUAUGGUGGACACUCAAUUUGAAAGAAGGUGCAACCACCAACUUGCACGAGAGCCAUAUCAUGGUUUGAGGAGUAUAAUGAAAAUGAUGCAACUGCAAACUCUUAUGAGAGCCAUAUCAUGGUUGAGAAGUACAAUGAAGAUAGUGCAAUCAAAAAUUUGAAAAAGGUGCAAUCGCAAACUCCCAUGAGAGCCUAUCAUGGAUUGAGGAGUACAACGAAGAAGGUGCCACAAAAUGUCGAAAAAUGUGCAAUCGCAAACUUGCACGAGAGCCUAUCAUGGUUUGAGGAGUACAAUGAAGAAAGUGCAACUACCCACUUCAAUGAGAGCUUACCAAAACUCGAGAAGCCCUUUCAUUUAACUUCACAUUGACUAUUUAUUACUUCUCUCACUGUCUUCGAUCACACCAUUGUAAUCAAAUUUUUUUCUCUUGCUUUUAUUGCAAGUUGGUCCUAACGAAAUGGUGAUGGUCAAGGAAGUUACAUCUUCAAACAAAAGGUACCUCCUUAUCACUAAUAGCCAUGAUGACUCUGCUGACAAAGGAAUGAAAUUAUUGGUGCAUCCCUCUAUACAAGAAACUUACUCUGGUGAUUGGUUUUCUCACAAAUAUUCCGAAUUAAAGGAUUGGUCACUAAAAUUUUCUCAAGAUGAUGGUACAAAAGUUCACUCCUUGAAAUUCCUUAUCAUAAUAAGGAGCCAAGGACAAUUGGCAGGCGAAUCAUAGAUGAAGACACACACUGGGGUGCUUCCUUGAGAUUUAGUGAUGAAUUUGGUUAUAUCGAGAAUUAUUAGGAGCGGUUGGAAGAUAUUUUUGGAAAAAACAAACAAGUGUUUCGUGAAAAUUACUUGUUCGAUGUCUUAUAUGCUUCGCUUCUCAUAUAUAACAAAAAUUCUCAUGUGUUUAGAGCAUUUUGCGAGACAUGGUGCCUAAACACUAAUACCUUGCAUAUGUCAAUUGGAGAAUUAUCUCUCUCACUUUGGGAUCUGUGUAAAUUAGAAGGACUUCCAAUCAUCGGAUACAUCUAUGAAGAGGCGAUCCCAUGUGUAGAGGAACUAACUGGAGUUAAUGAAAAGAAGUUGAUGCAUAUUCCGCAAAAUUGUGAGUAUUUGUUCGCGGCUCUGCACUACCUUCAACAUGGAGAAUACUACAAUUAUGGAGUUUCUGCUAGCCAAUAGAUUAACUUUUGGUUUAAAGGCAACGUGAGGUAUUCAAAACCAAAACAGAGAAGGAUAAAGAGAGCAUCUAGUGCUUAAGCAACCCAAAAUCCAGAUGGAAAGAUUGGACAACCACGUAAUUUUUAAUUCAAGACAAUGGCAUAUAUGAUACCAUUGGAGACAAGUCUCACUUACGAGAAGAGACUUAUCUUGUAGCAUUUAUAUCUUGUUGACUCUACGUUUUUACUCUACCAGAUGAGGACGUCUAUUAUAUUAGACUAUCUACCUUCAAAAUGGCUAGCAUGAUGGCUGUCGGAUAUAAAACUUGCCUUGCUGUUCCUGUCUUGCUGAGUAUCUAUCACGGAUUCAAUAAAAUUUCAAAUUCAUCUACUCCAAGGUGUGCGCGUGCAUUUUUUUCAAUGCACUACGUGUAUGCUUAACUGGCGAGUUAUUUCUCUACCCAUUAUUCAACUCCGAAUAUCAUGCCUGGACCAACAAUUAUCAAUUAUUCUGGAAAGGGUGUGCACAAUAUUUUGAUGAAAAUAGUGCUUGCGACCUCAUUCAUCAAGGAGACAAAGUAACUUGGGGGACAACUUCUCUUGUGAAGAAUUAAAAUGAAUUUUUUGUUGAUGAUGGCAAGUUAGCGAACCCAGAACUGAUUUAUUUCGUAAGUGCUUGCUCAAAUUAUUUAGUCUUACAUGCUGAAGGAGAUUUUCUUGUUGAGCCAUACAGGUUUGCAAGGCAAUUCGAAUUUUAUCAAAACACCCCACAAGAACUGGGAGCAGAUGUUCAUUCUACAAAUUAUGACUUGAGUCAAAUACUUUGACACAUUGCUAUUCAUAAUAAGACAGAGUCGAAGGUAUUUUUUUCUAGUUACCCCUUGAAUGCUAACAAGCAUAUAUCUCCAGAUUUUCAAACAUGAUGUUUUGAUUAAGAGUGUCCAACCAAAUUUGAAACAGAAGAAAUCGAAAGGAAAGAAACUUGCAAAUUUGAAUAAUCCUGUCAAGGUUGGCAGUAAUCUUGAGGCGAAACAGAAAAUCACCAAGACUGUGAGGAUUGAGGAGAAAGCAUUGCAGAGCUCCAGCAACUCGUGAAAUUCUAAUUUUCAAUGAAGAAUUUUCGAAUGGUAAUUCAUUUUGUCUUCCUUCAAUAAUUGUAAAAGCCACCAAUCAUGAGUCUCGCAAUUCCAAUGAAAAGAAGAGGAGCAACUCUUUUGAUGAGAAGGAUGAGCAAUCUACUAGUACAGACUAGCACUAGAAGCAUAAGAAAUUCAAGGUAAUGACUUUCUCUUUGGAUGAUAUUGUUUUAGACCCUAAAGAAAUGUUUAAGGACAUUCUGGACAAAUAUGUGCUUGGUAUAAGUCAUGCCAAUAUUAUAAGAACAUUCUCUUGCCUUCUUUAGUUUGGCAUUUGAAAUUUACUUAUCAAUUUCAUAUUCAUGAUAUGUCUCAUAACAUUUUCCAUGUAGUUGAAUGAUCAAAACUUGAUUUUUAUUAAUGAUGGGAAAUCAAGCUAAGAAUUCGUUGAAGGACCCACUAUAUUUUAACUUUUAACAAAACAAGUGGUCAAUUCUACUCAAUAAAAGGGCAUCAUUGAAAAUUUCAAAAAGGCAGUGCAUGAUGAAAAUUCAGUUCAACAAAUCAUGCUACAGAAGAAAGAACAUGUGACUUCACCGGAGAAAAAAAAGUUCAAAAUUUUUGAUCCACAACCGUAGCCAAGGGCACCUCAAGUGUCUGAAUUUUGCCCCCAAACUAUGAUCUUAACAUGUCAUCGAGAUUACAUUCAAAUGCUCUGAAAUAAUUUGAAGGUGCUGAUAUCCGAAACAAUCCUGGAACGCAUUUCUGCUCUUAAGAUGAAAGCAAAUGAAAUCAUGGAGGAAAUGCAAAGUUUCAAUGCUAUGAAUAUUUCAAACUUGUAAGGCCUUUUAAAGCCUUUCUUUACAAAACCAAUUCGUUCUGUCGUAAUAAAGUCUUCUUUCUCAAAUAAAAUUUCAAUUGAAUCAUAUAAUGAGUUGUUUUCUAUAGCUACCCAACAUCUUAGAGAUGCUCAGAGUAAGGAGAAAUAAUAACUUAAAAAGUUCUCAACGUACAUGUUAAAAUUUAAAGAGAUUGACCAUGAGAAAAUAGAGCUAAGGAAAUGACUUGAAUCUAUGGGUACUCAUAGGAUGGAAAUACUUUCACUGCUACGAAAGAAACAAGACGAGCUUACCUAAAUGCAAGGCAAGAUGAUCAACUUAUGAAAUGAAAUUCAAAAGAUUGAAGAUUCCCUAUCUUUACUUGUUGAGGAGAGCCAAACAUUGAACAAAAUGCAAGCACUACUUGAAAGCAACUGCAAAAAACUGUCAUCAUUUGAACUUUAGAAUUAGUUACAAUCUUUUACUUUUUUCAAAUUUUAUUUAUUGUCACUUGCCUAUAUUAUAUAGCCACAGGCAUAAUUAAUUUUUUAUUUCACCAUGAAUCAUGAUUUUUUUUAUUUCAUGAUACUCUUGUGGAUAUUUCUUACUUUCCUUUGUUGCUUUCAUUAACCACCAUUUUAGACUAUCGAUUGCAAAAUAAACAAUUCAACAUUUGCAUAAUUUUAAUCACAUUUGAAGAGGUAAUUGUCUACAUAAUUUGAUAAUUUGAACAAUAUACUUUCAGGUGUAUGUUGCAAAGUAAUUUGAAUUGCCCUAAAGAGAAAAACUUUUUAUCUUUUAUUGCAUGACAUCUUUAUGGGGUUGUAACUGAAUUUCGAAGUUACCAUCUAAACUGUUUGCAUAUCCCAAAAGGGAAUAAAUUCACGUGUAGUUCCUACCAUCCACAGUUUAAUUUCUUGCAGGUCAGGAGUAUCUAUUUGCUUAUCACUUUAAACUUGGUGGAGUGUUUUAGUAGUUUAACCAUAUACUACACUAUUGGUGAUUGCCGUCCACAGUUUUAACUCAUAUGGACCAAGAGCAACAUGCAGUUUAGACUCAUGUGUCAUGAAACAACAUGCAGUUUAGGGUCAUGCGUCAUGUUGUCCUUUAUUUUUUUUAUGGCGUGUAUAAUCUUAAGAAAUUUUCAUUUAUGGGUCAACAUUUACACCAUUUUGUCAACUACCUUGUACGCGUUAUUUGUAUAAACAUUUCGGAUAAUAUAUGGUCCAUCCUAUUCGGAGACAAAUUUAUCUUUAGCAUGAUGAGUCAUAACUAUUGAUUUUCGAACGGCGAACACUAUGUCACCAAUUUGAAAGGAAUGAUGAUGAUAGCUUUAGAAAGGUAAGCCUGGUAGCAUUCAAGAUUUUGUUGAGUUUCCAAUUCCUUUUCAUCUAAAGUUUCUAAUUCUUUAAGAAGCAAGCAAAUAUUUUCUUUCUCCAUGAGCCCUUAUUGGAUGGCAAUUCUCAGAGAAAGAAUUUGUUGUUCAAGAAGCAAGACAACUUCUACACCAUAAACUAAGGCAUCAGGGGUGGCUUGCAUUGGAAUUCGAUAUGUGGUGCGAUAAACGCAGAGAGUUUCACCUAUCAUUUCAUGCCAAUCCUUCUUUGAUCUGGCCAUCACUUUUUUCAACAAGUUGCAUAGAGUUUUAUUGAAUGCCUAAACAAUACUGUUGGCAGGGACAUUAUACAUAAAGGACUUGCGAUGUUUGAAUUUAAAUUUCUCACACAACCUAUCCAUUAAACAGUUGAAGAAGGGUUUCCAUUAUCAGUGAUAAUGUGUUAGAGAAUUUCAUAACGAUAAAUAAUAUUUACACGAAUGAAAUUCACCAUAUCUUCUUUUCUCACUUGAGUGGUAUAGUUUCAUCCCAUUUAGAGAAGUAGUUGGUUGUAACCAAUAUAUAUAGAUGUUGUCCGAACGACUUAGGCAAUGGUCCAACAACAUUAAGGUCCCAGGCAUCAAAAGGCUAAGAAGUAAUAGUCAAAUGUAAUAGUUCGGGUAAUUGAUGAAUGUAAUUUGCAUAGAAUUGACAAGUUUGACACCUUUGAGCGUAUUCCAUACAAUCUUUGACCAUAGUAAGGCAAUAAUAGCCCAUCAUUUUAAUCCAAAAAUGCAACUUGGGACCGAAUUGGUGAGUUUGACAUAUUUCAAAAUGUGCCUCUUGCAUAGCUUGAUAUUCAUUAUCUUCAUUCAGACAGCGCAAGAAUACACUUUCAAAUGAUUUUUGAUAUAGCGUAUCUUUGUAUAAGAUGAAACGGGGGCACGACAAUAGAUAUCAAAUCUUUUAUGUUGCUCCUUAGGUACCUUUUGAUACUUGAUAUAAUUGAUAACAGGUUGUCUCCAAUCUUCUUUAUCAACUUCAUAAGUUGAGACGACAUAAGCAUCACCUUCCUCAAUAUUUUCAUUAUCAAAUAAUGGUGAAACUAUCCACUUUUGAUACACACGAACUUGUAUUUCAUAAUUUGACAUAGUCAGAGAAGAAGCAAGCAUAGCUAAUGCAUGAGUUUGCUUAUUUUCUCUUUUAGGGACAUGUUCAAUACUUGUACCUUCAAGUUACCUUAUAAGUUGCGUUGCAUUCUUGUGAUAUGGAAUUAAUUUAAAUUUUUUAACAUCAUAAUUUCCCAAGGGUUGACUAACGACUAAUUGUGAGUUGCCAUAGAUUUGAAACUCAAAUUAUUUCAUGUCAAUAGUUAUUUCAAGUCCGAAUAUGAGGGUUUGAUACUUAACGACAUUAUUUGAACAACGUUGAUUUAGAAUAAAGGAGUAUGGCAAAACUUCUUCAUCAGAUGUUGUAAAUACAAUUUUGACUCCAACUCCAUGACGAUGAGUAGCAGAUUUCAAUAAGGAGUACAUUUUUAUUUGGUAGAUCAUCACUUAACUCCCAUUCAACAAGUAUCGGGUGAUCAAUAAGAAAAUCUACUAGUACUUAACCCUUCACGGCCUUUUGGAAUACAUAAAUAAUUUUAAAUUAUUGUAACUAGGUACCAUUUAGCUAGACAGUUGGAUAGUGUUGGUCUACUUAUCACGUAUUUUAUGAAGUUUGCCUUGAAGAUGAGUCUCACACUGUGUGCUUGAAAGUAGUGUUUUAACUUCUAUAUUAUAAAAAUAAGAGUUAAACACAACUUUUCAAUCGGUGAGUAGUUUAAUUUAUUAGAGAUCAUCAUAAAUAAUAAAGGGCAGUUUCUUUCACUUCAUUAUUUUCUUGUGCAACCAAUACCUCCACUAAACGUUCUUGGGUAACAAUGUAAAGAAUUAAUGGCUUUCUAUAAAUAGGUUCAAUCAAGACAGAUGCCUUCAUGAGAUAAGAUUUAAUGCUAUUGAAUGUAUUGCUGUACGCUUCAUUCCAUUGGAAUGGUACACCUUUCUUCAUAAGGUGAUUAAAUGGUUGACACCUUUCAAUUAAAUUUGAGAUAAACCUCCACAGAUAGGUUAAUCGCUCUUGAAGGCUUUUUAUUUCUGAAUAUUGCGAGAUUCAGGCAUUCUCAAUAUAGCAUCAAUGUUGACUCGAUCAAUUUUAAUACCUCGAUGACAGACCACAAAAUCAAGAAACUUUCCUGAUGUAACUCUAAAUGCACAUUUGAGAGGAUUCAAUUUGAGUUGAUAUAUUUUCAACCGAUCAAAAUUUUGUUUCAAAUCCUCCAAGUGAUUAUUUCUUUUUUUUUUUAUUUAACAACCAAAUCGUCCAUAUAACAUUUAAUAUUUUUAUGAAGCAUGUCAUCAAAAAUAUUUUACAUUAAUCUUUGAUAUGUAGUUUUGAUAUUUUCAAACUAAAGGGUAUUAUGUUAUAACAAUAAAUACCCUUAGGAGUAUGAAAUCUAGUGAGUUAUUUAUCCUCAGGUGUUAUUCGAAUUUGAUUAUAGUUAGAAAAGCUAUCCAUAAACGACAAACCCUCAGACCCAAUAAUUGCAUUAAUCAUGAGUUUGGUGAUGGGUAGAGAAAAAUCAUCUUUGGAACAAGCACUGUUAAGAUCCCUAAAAUUUACGUAGAUGUGAAUUUGCCUGUUCUUCUUUCGUACAGACAUGAUAUUUGAAAUUCAUGUGAAAGACUUAAAUUCAUGAAUAAAUCCAUCAUCAGUGAAUUUAUUGAUUUCAACUUCGAUCAAAUAGACCAAAUCGGGUCUAAAUCACCAUUGUACUUACAUUACAGGUCGAACUCCCUUUUUAAUAGGUAAAUGGUGGACUGCUACUUUUGAAUUUAGACCUAACAUUUCUUUAUAAGUUCAUGUAAAAAUAUCUUGAUACUCUUGCAAGAACUCAACAUAUGUCUUCUCUUCAUCAGAAUUCAAUAAAGCACUUACCUAUAUAGGAUAUGGGUCCUGUGAAGUGCCAAAAUUGAUUUUUUAAGUCAUCUACAGUGGCCUUAACGCCUUGUUCAAAUUCAGGUGAAGCAUCUUCAACAUCUUCUUCUUCUCCAAGGGAAUUAUUAUCAAAUAUGGUUAUAUGGUUGUAUGAAACAAUACUUUCUUCAUCAUCUUCCUUUGAUCUUGUUUCUACAAUAGUAUGCUCUCUAACCUUUAGUUCAGUCCCAUAAAUUAUUAUAAGAUUUGUACAUCUCCUCAUUCUUGAGAGAAUAAUGUUACCAAACUUAUAAAUGUUAUGGGGACAAUCAAAAGAUUCUUCAAAUUCUUUCAGUGAUUUUGUCAUUCUCCAUUUAUUCUUAUGAGAAUUUUGAGACUUUUAUUUUCUUUGUGGUCCUAGUCUUUUGAAGACGAAUACUCACAGAGCCUUAUCCCUAUUUUUAUGAAAAACGUGUGACUUAUUGACUAUUUUAGAAGAUUCAUCUCUUAUAGCAAUAAAUUGACUACCAGCUCUAUUGAUUUUGAUGCGAAUUGGUACAGGUGAAAAAUAGUAAAGAUCAGAUUUAGAAUUCUUAACAGCAUAUCCUUUCCCUUUCAACAUCUUUUGAGUAAGGUUUAACCCAUAAGUCACAUCGCUAGUGGCUUGAGGAGGUUUCAAUACCAGAGAUUUCUUGAAAUCAUACCCAAUUUUGGUAAGAAGUUUAUAAGCAAUAUAAUCAAAAGCUUCAUUAAUUCUUGACGUCAGUAGCAUAUCUUGCUUGAUGUCAAACUCUUUAUUAAGAUGAUCAAACCCUUUGAUUAAAGGCGAUGGUAUAUUCGUAGCAUCAAGUUUAGCCACAGGAAGAGUUAAUCCUUUCAGAGUUUUGUGUGGAAUUGAAGAUGGUUGUCCUUGUCCCAAUCUUGACUUGGGAGGGUAUCCGAAGACAACUGAUUUAUUUUUUAACAAUGAGGCAUCAAUUUUUUUAUGAACUACCUCUUUUGAUUUUGGAAUCACCACUUUCUUCGUUUUGCACUUGAUGAUUCGAGAUCUUGGAUUUUAACCAUAGAUGGAGAUUGUUUAAACUCAUUCUUUAUGUUAUACUGAUUUAUUUUUUAACAAUGAGGCAUCAAUUUCUUUCUGAACUACCUCUUUUGAUUUUGGAAUCACCACUUUCUUCCUUUUGCACUUGAUGAUUCGAGAUCUUGGAUUUUAACCACAGAUGGAGAUUGUUUAAACUCAUUCUUUAUGUUAUAUUUUUGGAUAUAAAAUUUAGCAUUAGCGAUAUGCAUUUCUACUUCAGUGUAAAGAUUAUAAUCAGUUUUCACACUUUUUACCACUCCAUUUCGGUAAUACUUGAAAUAUUGGUGAAGAGUUGAAAGCACAACCCCAUUUUCAUGAAUCCAGGGUCUUCCCAGUAGCAUAUUAUUUAUUGUUUUAGUAUCUAUUACAUACAGUUGUGCUUUAGACAAUAUAUCAUCGAUAACUAUCUCUAAAUUUAACGAUCCAAUAGCUCUUUGCCCUCCUUGAUUAAGGUCUUGUAUUAUUAGUCAGCUUAUUGGAAAGUUUAUCAAUGGAGAUGCCAAAUUCCUUUAGAGUUUUUAAGACAAGGCUAUUGACAGCAGAACCUCUCUCUAUCAAAAUUUUAUUCACAUUUUAUUUUUUAGCAUAAACAGUUACAAACAAAGGACGGUUAUGUGAUGUUGACCCAAAAAACAAGUUGAUAGGGUGUUAAUUGUUAGUAAUUUUAUUGCUAUUUUUCCCCUUUGUCCUUGCCAAAUAUUAUUUUAAUUGUUAACAUAUACUUAUUUUUGGUAUUUGGACCAAUCUACAGGAAGUGGAACUGACAAAUGCUAAAAAGGAGAUUUUAUUGAGAAAAAUCCUUCACAUGCUAGAGCCUCCAGCGGAUAUACAAGUUGGGCCCACAUGGUGUUACAAAUUCGGUUGCUGAUGGGGAGCUCUUAUUAUUGGGAGUUGACUUGUACGUGUAGGAGUCCUCCUACCAAGAGGAAACAAGAAAAAAGGAAUUCGGCAGAGGCCCAUCUUUUGUACUUAGCUUUCUCAAUUCGGUAGGGACCAUGGACUAGAGGUUUUCAUUAGUGAUUGGACUUUAAAAGGGAAGAAACGUAUAGAGGCUUGGGGAUUAUUAUGAUUAGCGUAGCUUUAGUUUUAGUGGUUAGCUAGCGUUUCCUUUUCAUGCGCACGAGGUGCUCGACAAUAUUUUUCAACGGGAAAAAAAAACAUCUUUUACUCUUGCUUUCUAGUGAAAAACUUGAUGCCUUUGCAAUCAAUUAAUUUGCGUGGAGAUUUAAUUAUGCGGCGUGGCUAAGCCUUUUAUCUAGUCAAGGAUCAACUCGACGGCGCAGUCCCAAAUAUCUGUGAGAUCUAAUUAGUUUUCACGCGUUUCUUAAUUUGUUAAUAUUUGCAUGUUGCCUAUUUGAAUUUCCACGGGAUUAUUUUGUUAAUUGGAUAUCAAGAGCCCGAUGUUCAAUGUGACUUAUUAAUUUCCUGCCAAAUUAGUCAAUUAAAUCCGUAAUUGUUUGAUUGAUUAAUAUUAGUAGCAACUGACAUGUUUACACACUAGAAGAACGUGCAAUCUAAUUUAAAUAACCCUCGUAGCGUGUUAUUGAUUGGGAUUAGAUUUUUCUAGUUAUUAAUGCAAUUGGGAAAUUAAUUCAUACAGUUGUACCUAGGAGUAUUUUCUGGUUAGGAGUAAUCAUUGGUCGUACCUUGGUUAUCAAUAAAUUAAGGAAAAAUUGGUCGUUAGAAUUCGUCGGCGACUAUAACUAGCCUAUUAAUAAAUUAAGUGAACCUCCCUUGCAUCAAUGAUCGGGUAAGUGGACUGUGUCUGAGUAGUUGUAUUCUUAACUAAAAUUUAUCUAUUCUUGAUUUAAUUCCUGCCUAUAUUCGUGCUAAUUAAUUAUUUAUUUUUAGUGAAUUGCUUAAUUAUUUUUAGUUUUACUCCAAUAAAAUUCCUCUUUACCAAUUGGAAUCUCAAAAAGACAAAUAUUCUCAGUCCCUGAAGAGACGACCCUACUUGCCAUUGUCUACUAUUUAGUAAGUUUUGUCAACUAAUUAAUUUUGGUAUAUCGGAUUAAGCAAAUUUUUCGGGAACAGGGUGAAUUAAGUAACCUAUUGCACAUCUAGAGUCCCGGCUCUAAUAUCUAGGAUUCAUUAUUGACUGCUUUUAGUGGUAUUUAGGUUAUUAUUAUUAUUAUUGCACAGUCUCGACACCUGUCAAUUUUUGGCGUCGCUGCCAGGGACUGGCGUUAAUUAUUUGUUUUUUUAAGUUCAAUUUUGUUCUAAUUUUCUGGUAUUUUUUCUAAUUUAUGCAUCAUUCUUCUCGUAUAAGUGAAUUAAUUUUCGACCCUGAAGUAGAGAAGAUCGCGCGUAGAACGAGAAAAGAAACCAGACAAUUCAGAGAAGAGCACUCAAGUACUACAUCUCAGAGACUUGAGCCGGAAGUUGAACCGGCAAAUUCGUUUGGUAACACUUCGAGUGACUCGGAUCAAGAGAAACUCACCAUGGCAAAUGCACAAACAUUAAGGGAGUUGGCUGCUUCUAAUUUAAAUCAACAGCCUUUAUGCAUUGCUUUCCCAAGUUUGAAUGAUGACACCCUCUUUGAACUAAAAUCUGGUCUAAUUCAUCUCUUGCCAUCUUUUCAUGGUUUACCAGGUAAGGAGCCCUACAAACAUUUACAAGAGUUUGAUGUUGUUUGCAACAGUAUGAAACCCCCGGGAAUCACAGAAAAGCUGAUAAAAAUGAGGGCCCUCCCCUUCUCUUUGAAGGAUUCAGCGAAAGAUUGGCUAUACUACCUACCACCAGGUAGUAUCACCACGUGGGACCAGUUGAAAAAAAAAUUCUUAGACAAAUAUUUUCCUGCGUCUCGGGCCGCCAGCUUAAGGAAAGAGAUAUGCGGUAUCAAACAACACCCAGGCGAGUCUCUCUAUGAGUACUGCGAGAGGUUUAAGAAGCUGUGUAUCAAAUGCCCUCAGCAUCAGAUAAGUGAGCAACUGCUCAUCCAAUAUUUCUAUGAGGGACUACUCUUCACGGACUGGAGCAUAAUCGAUGUUGCCAGUAAAGGGGCGCUAGUGAACAAGACCCCUCGAAAAUCUUGGGAGUUGAUUGAGGGGAUGGCUGAAAAUUCACAGCAGUUUGGUGGGCAGUGGCGAUGGCGAAGGCUCGCGGGGGUGGAAGAGCCGUUGGCGCGACUGGGGCCGCGCGGCUGCUAGAAUCUAGUUGCAUCAGUCUCUGUGGUCCUUGGGAUCUUUGAUUCGGCUGUUCCAUAGCUUGUCGAUCCUUUGUUGCAUCCCUGUAGGCAUUGUAAUUCCUGUUGAUUGAGUUGUUAUCUAGUUUUUGAGGGCACCUCUAGUAGUUCCUUUAUUUGGGAGUUAUUUGGGGUUGAGUUGGGAGUUAUUGGCCAAUUGAUUCCUAUUUUGCUUUCGUCCUGUUUCUGGUACUGUAUGGUUUUGAUUGGGGGGUGUCUCAGUGGUUUGGGUUGCCUGUUUGAAUUGGUUCUUACCUGUGUGUGCACCAGUGGUACUGGUUGUGUUGGGAAUCCGUGACUGAUUUGUUCUUGUCCAAUUGAAGCCAUUUUGAGCAAUUUUGGGGUGAACACAUUUUGUCAUUAAUUGUUGAUUGUUGGGGGACGUUUUUGGUAACACUUGAGUUGAUAGGGUGUUAAUUAUUGGUUAUUUUAUUAUUAAUCUCCCUUUUUAUUCUUGCCAAAUAUUGCUUAAUUGUUAAUAUUUACUCAUAUUUGGUAUCUGGACUUAAUUUCAGGAAUGAAGUAGAAAACUACCAAAAAGGAGGGAUUUUAUGGAGAAUAUGGAAACUUCUAAGGGCUUCAAUUCUUGGGCCCUUGAAUUGGUGGGGACCACAAGCUAGUGAAAGGCAUUUAGUCAUUUGAGCUCUUCAAAAGAAGCUACGUAUAUUUUAUUUUAUUUUAUUUUAUUUAUUUUAUUUAUCUCUUAUUUUUUUUUAUAUAGUUUAUGGCUUCUAACACUUCGUAUUUUGGUGAUAUACUGGAUUUUGUUUCCGGGAAAGGCAAUGUGACUAGUUUUUUUGCUAAGUCUGCAUAUGCAGAGGCACUAAACUCUAUUAGAGAAAGAAUGGCUGCUGCAACCUGUAAAAUUUGUUAUACCAGGGAUCAUUCAACCGGUAUGUGCCCCGAAUAUCAAGAUAAUCUGAGUGUCCCAUUCGAUAAUUAUGGAGAAUUUUCACCCUGGUCUCAAACGUGGUACGACCCUAAUCCAAACGGGUAUGAUCAAGGAUGGUGGGAUAACUCCAAUUAUAAUUAUACAACGGGACCAAUGAAUUUUCAGCAGUAUGAGUCUCAAGAAUCGUCAUCUAUGUCAGGUAUGUCUCUUGAAGAAAUAGUUGAACCAAUAGCUACUAACACAUACCAAUUCCAACAGGAGACACAAAUGAGGAAUGAGAUGAUGAAGGAUGCAAUGAGUUAUCUGGCAGAUCAACUAUGUCUAUUGACAUCCAGAAUAAAUCGAUGGGCUUCUCAAAUGGAAGAACUGCCCUCGAAAACCAUUGUUGACCUAGAAGAAAAUGAGAGUGCAAUUUGCUUGACUAGUGAUGAGGAGAUGCAAGAGUGUCAAAAUGAAAAAUCUACAGAUACAGUUGAAAAAGAAGCCGAAAAGGAAGAAAUGGAACCCCAACCGCAACCCAUUCAAGUGAAAGAAUCCAGUGAAGAAUCAUCAAAUGUGGUGACACCACCUCCAUUCCCUAACCCGCAUUUUUUCUAACUCUUACUCUAUGAUUUCUGUUAAUGAGAUUGAUUUUGUUAUACCGGAAGUUUUUGAGUCUCAUGGCAGAAAUAAGUUGAGAGUGGAGAUGGCGAAAUAUCUUGAACCGUUGAAUGCUCUUGAUGGAGGAAUGGAUGAAGAAUUGCGAUCAAUGCUUGAUUAUGUGGCGCCAUCAACUAGUCCAUGGAAGCCCGUGGUUCGUGUGCUCAAAGAUUACUCCAUCUAUGAGGGUUACCAGGAUCAUAUUGAAGAUGAAGCAUUGAAGCGAGCUACAAGAUUUUAUCCUCCAUGAACAAGACAUAACAAUGUCUAGCCAAAGACAUUAAAGAAAGGCGUUUUUUGGGAGGCAACCCAAAUAUUGAUUUUAUUAUUUUUAGUUGUUCAAUUCUUUCGUUCUGUUGUUUCUCAUUUGGAUAGUAGUUGGUCUUGAUAUUUUUCUCCACUGUGAUCAGGAAGUGAAAUCUUGGCGUGCCCACGCGGUGUUUAGGUCUCCUGAGAUCAGAGGACGAACACCAAUCUUGGCGUGCCCACGCGGUGUUUGGGUCUCCUGAGGUCAGUGAAUGUUUUGUAAUCUUGGCAUGCCCACGCGGUGUUUGACGACCCAAAACAUGAAAAAAAAAAAGUUUCAAAAUUUCACAUUGAGAAAAUUCAAAAAUUCAAAAGGCAUUUUUCUUUUUCUUCAAAAAUUCAAAUUUUGGAAUUUCAAAUUCAGGAAAAAAUUUGAAAAAAAAACAUUGAGAAAAAAAAACCCAAAAAGAAAAAAUUAAGAUUCAAAAAAAAAAAAAAACUAUUUUUUUUUCUCUCUUUUUCUUUUUCUCUUUUCUUUUUCUUUUUUCUUUUCUUCUUUUUUCUUUCUUUCUUCCUUCACCACCGCAGCAGCUACCCCACGCGACUCUCCUCCGCCUACCCCAGCGCACAGCCCAGGCCACGCGCUCCCUCCUUCCUGCAGCCCGUCGACGAAGCCCACCAGCCACCACCAGCAGGCCGCGGCUCCUUCCCCCUUGCGCGGCCACAGCUCGCGAACCACCUCUCCCACAGCGCGCGGCCUUCUCCCUUAUCUUUUGGCCGCGCGUCAUUGGCUCGCCCAAGGGCAGCCGCCGCCGCCGUUCCUCACAGUCAAGCAAUCGCAGGCCAAAGCCCACAACCCCAGCCGGCGCCGCCCGCAGCUCCUCGUGCGUGACAGCCGUGCGACGCCGCGCCUCCCUCAGCAACAGCUCCAAGCUCCAGCUCACUCGCAGACAGCCGCGCGAUUCUCAGCCAUUCACCUCGCGCGACCCCGAGCGCACAAUUCCGCGUGCCGCCAUCGAAGACCGCCGCGCCUCUCCCUCAGCCCGCCAUUGCGCCCCACCACUGUCCCGCUGUCUACGGUUGGGCACAAGGGAGGUACUUUUAAAAGAAAUUUUUAAUUUAAAUACGAGAAUGUCAAUUUCUAAAUUCUGGGGCUGUUUAGUGAUUGUUUGGAUUUCUUGGUGGAUUUGGUUGGCCGUCUGAUUAAAUUCUUCCUUGUGUGAUAACCAGUGGUACUGGUUGGGGUCUUUCGACCAUAGUUGUUGCUUAUAUUUGGUCAGAUGUCUGCUUGUUUGAAAGUUCACGUUCUUGUGAUUGAGUUGUUGCUCAAAUUCUGAUCUGCUGUUGCUAGAACUUUUGGUUGGUUGAGUUGUGCAAUUGACUGUCCAAUUGGAGACAGUUAUUGAGAUCUUAGGUGGGAUGGUGUCCAAUUGCUAAAAUUUGUUGCUUUGUUUCGUCACUCGCACUGCUCCUAGUUUGUUCGAGUGAAAUUGGUUGGAUGUUCUUUGCCCGUGGAGUGUAACUGUUACAUUGUUUGGGGCAGUUUUUUGGUAUUGAUUGAAUUGUUGGGCGUAAAUUGCUCAGGACUUUACAUUGCUAAUUUGGUGGGCCAUUUAUUGUGCAUUACCCUUUUGAAUUGGGAGAUACCUGUGCUUAUUGGGUUUUGACUACUUGAGAUUUCUGUUGCAUCUGGGGGAUAAAAUUUGAUGACUUUUGUGCCAGUUUAUUUGUUUGGAAAUUGUUGGGGGUAAUUUGGGAGUUACUUGUCAAUUGGGUCCCGUGUUACCCUCUACCAUUCAGUGGUACUGAUUGGUGUGUUUGGCUUUAUCACAUGUCUUGGGUUGGCCAUUUGAUUUCAAUUUUCCUUGUGCAUGCACCAGUGGUACUGGUGAGGGUAGUUUACAUAAUAUUUGUUACUCCUGUGUUAUUGGUUGCCUAAUCGACUACUGGGCAUUUGUGGUUGAAUUGUUUCUGUCCAACUUCUGAACUGUUGUUGCUGGAGUGCCAUUUUCUUGGGUCAAUUGCUGAUUUUAGCAAGUUGAAGUGGGUAAUUGACUGUCCAAUUGGAGACAGUUGUUACGAUAUUGGGUCCGAUUGUGUCUAAUUGCUGGAAGUUGUUGAUUUAUUAAGACACUAGCACAGUUCCUAGUUUGUUCGAGUUGCUGUUCUGUUGCAUUAUUGGGAGCUGUGCUCUAGUAUUGUGGCUACUUUCCUGCGUUUAUUUGUUGAAUUGGGAUAUGAAUGUGCCUAUUGCUCAUUUUGUUGCAUCUAAUUGACUUGCUUGGGGUAAUCUGCCCAUCAAUUUUAAUUACUCAAGUCUUUGGAGCAGUUGUUGCACAUUUGGACUACUUUGUUUCUAUAUCUGACUGAAUUGGGACCACAAGUGCUUAUCAAUUGCAUUUGCUAUAAGUAUUGGGGUAUUCGUAUAGAUUUUAGGAGCCUGCAUUGUGCAUUUUAUUGUUUGGGUUGCCUACUAGUUACCAUGGUGAAGCCACGAUCCUCCCCCAGGGGCCGAUGACUGGCUCCAACUUUCGAUGACAGUUGAGAGACUGGAGACUCGAGUGACCCACAUUGACAUCGACUUGCAUAACAUGGCGCAGAAUUUGGCAGCACUCCGCCCGACCCGCCCCUGUUUUGACAAUUUCAAGGAAGUACCGUUGCCCUUCUCUUUACUUUUGUUGUUGGUUUAUCACAUUGAGGGCAAUGUGUGAUUUAGGUGUGGGGGGAUCAGUUUGGGUGCUAGUAUUUUUAGUUUUUAGGUUCUAGAGGUUUUUCUUUUGUUUUAGUUUGAUAUUUAGUUCUUUUUUUUUCGUCUAUUUUAUUUUAUUAUUAUUAUUUUUUUUUCUUUCUCCUUUUUUCUAGUGGUCAGUCUUCAUAUGAAUACCAAGUUUGAUACUGGAUUGUUGUCUCUAAUUCUGCUAUUGCCAAGUCUUAUUAAUAAAAGGGUAUUAAGUUAAUGUGCUUGAGUUCAGGAAUAUCUCUUUGGUGAAUAUCGGUAAUUGCUUAACUUUUUCAAUUUUUGGUUAACUUUUCUAGGCAUAGGGAAUGAUUGUUGGCAUUUUUCAUGUGAAUUGGUUCAGUUAUUAAUUUUAGUUCUCCAUGUCUGGAAAUUUGAGGCUGGCUGCUGUUAAUCUUAUGUUGCUUUUAGAUAUCGUGUUAUAUGGUUGUAAAUAAGAGUUGACUGUACUCCGCUAGUGGUUACUACUGAGUAACCGGGGAUUUUCACCUAAAGUGUCGAUUCUCGCGUCAAAAGGUAGUAGUUGCUAUGAAUGCGUGGUCCUGUAGCGAUCGGAGCUGAGUAACCGGGCUCCUCCAUCUGAUAAAUGUUGGAGUUCGCGUCAAAAGGCUCUAAAUGGCUAGAGACUAAGUCUUUUGCUAUUCCCAAAAAAAAAAAGAAAAAAAACAAGUAAAGUUUGUGUUAGUAUUUAAAAAAAAAAAAAAGAAAGUCAGCUUGCCUAUUUGUGAUCUUAAUGUCGAGAUUUUGGUUAAUAGAUGGACCAUUUGCUGAUAAAUGUGAGCAACCAUUCCUUUUCCUUAGAUUAGUUUGCUUCAAAUUGAAGGAGUUGGUGGUUUAGAGGCUAAUCGGGGUGAUUUUUCUUGGAUGUUGACCUGUGAUGCUUGAUAUUUAUUUUUCUUGGACAUCUUGGCAAUACGGUAGUUGGAGUAACAGCCAUGGUCAACUUUUGGUGUUCAAUUGUUGUUCCCAUACUUGAGGGCAAACAUGAUUUAGGUGUGGGGGGAAUUGAUAGGGUGUUAAUUAUUGGUUAUUUUAUUAUUAAUCUCCCUUUUUAUCCUUGUCAAAUAUUGCUUAAUUGUUAAUAUUUACUCAUAUUUGGUAUCUGGAUUUAAUUUCAGGAAUGAAGUAGAAAACUACCAAAAAGGAGGGAUUUUAUGGAGAAUAUGGAAACUUCUAAGGGCUUCAAUUCUUGGGCCCUUGAAUUGGUGGGGACCACAAGCUAGUGAAAGGCAUUUAGUCAUUUGGGCUCUUCAAAAGAAGUUACAUAGAGAGACUUGGAGAAAGAAGUACUUUGGAGGCUUUGUCCAUAUGUGUGGGGACCACCUAGAUAGCUUUUAGUCAUCUUUCUUUUGUUGCUUUAAAAGGGGACAACGUACAGAAGCAAAGGACAUCUAGGGCUUUAGUUUUAGUUUUUUUAGUUUAGUUCUAGUUUCCUUUCUUUGGACUGGCCUCUGACACACGCCAGGUGUUCGACAAUAUUCCCCAACGGGAAGAUUUUCUCAUGAGGCGUGGUUAAGCUUUUCUAGUCAAGGGGACAACUGACGAUUUGGUUCGACAAUUACUGUGAGAUCGAAUCUGUUUUAAUUAUUUUCUUCAUUUAUUGGUAUUUAUAUGUUCCUUGAUUUUAAUUGCUAUGGCCUUGUGUAUGAUUGAUUAGUGCGCAAUAAUUAAUUAUUCAUAUAGGCUAUUUUUGCUAAAUAGGGGUAAUUGAAUCCGUAAUUGUUCGUUAUCUCUACCUCAGUAGCAACUGGCGUAAAUGGGUUUAUGUCAGGGGAGCAUAUGAUCUAAUUUAAACAAACCCUCGUAGCGUGUUUGUUGGUUAGGAUUGGGCCUUUCUAAUUAUUAAUGCAAUCUAGAAAUUAAAUCCUACGGUCGUACCUAGGGUUGUUUUUGGGUUAGAGAAAUAGCUAACGGUCGUACCUUAGCUAUCGAGAAAUUAAGGAAGGGUUGGUUGUUUAUCGCGUGCAUGACAACUAUAACUAAUCUAUUGCUAAAUGUUGGAAUUAUUUCUGCAUCAAUGAUCAGUGCAUGAACCAUUUCUGAUGUGUACCCUUGGCUAGAGUUUCCCCAAUCAUUUCUUUUAAUUAAUUAUUUUCUGCAGUUAAUUUAUUUAGUUAGCAUUUAAUCCAAAACCCCCCAUACUUUGGACUCUAGAAGAAACGAAUUAUCCCCAAUCCCUGUGGAUUCGACCCUACUCACCGCUAUAUACAAAAUCUGUAUCUUUAUUGAGUAGGUAUUUAUUAUUGUACAGGUUCGGCACCUGUCAAUUUUGGGGUGAACACAUUUUGUCAUUAAUUGUUGAUUGUUGGGGGACGUUUUUGGUAACACUUGAGUCUAUUUUGCUGAGUUCUGUUGAUAGAGCAGUUAUUUGGCACAUUUUACAGUGUUAUUUUGUCCUAAUUUUGGCUAUUCAUGGUGUUAAGAAUUGGAAUAUCACUCAUAUUUGAUGUUUGUGUGAAUUGUAGGUGGUCGGCAUUAAAAAUGACCUCUCAAGGCAAAUUUCUAGAAGACUCUUCGUCUCAGAGCAUGGCCACGCCAGAGAAGGUCGAUGUUACCGAAAAGCCGGACCCCGGUCCACGUGAACCGCAAGGAGCACGGGAUUAAAGCUCUAAAAGGCUAGCUUUUGUUUCAAUCAAUUGGGUCAGACAUGACUUGGCUCCUAGAGGCUUCAAUUAAAAAAGAAAAGAAAGGGCCAGACGUCGAGGGAAUGAGAAUGAGGAAACUAGGUCUACAUGGACCAGCUACACGGGAUAAAAACUCCAAUGAAGAGAAGAGCUCUGCUCCGCGUGGAUUUCCCCUGCGGCACUAUAUAAGACAACAAAAAAGGUGAUGCAGCGGAGAAUAUAGAUUAGCUUUGAUUUUCUUUUCGAGAGGGGUCAGGCGAUUGCAGACUUUUGUAGCUUUUCGGUUGUGACACUUGGACUCCUUGGCUUUUGUUUUGACUCUGCACAAUUUACGUUAGUUUUUGUUCGUACACUUGCGGCACCAAAGCAAAGACGAAGGCAGUGCCUUCUCUGUUGUUACUGCAAUUAAUUCCCCUUCCCCAAUUUUCGGCGAAUAAUUGAAUGAAUUCAAUUAAAUCACGCGGGAUUGACACGAUAAGGAGCGGCUAAUUUUCUCCUCUACCCAAAGGUUGACGCGAAGGCGCGGUCCAUAAUAUCUGUGAGAUCUAAUCGAAUUUUCAUUAUUUCUUUCAAUUUAUUGCUAUUCGUACGUUUCCUGAAUUAAUUGUUCAUGAGUAUUUUACUAAUUGAAUAUCAACGGCCGGGUAUUUGAUUUAAUUUAAUAGUCUACUGCCACGUUAAUUAAAUAGAAUCCGUAAUUGUUCAUUUAGUUAACACCUCGUGGCAACCACCAUAAUUGGCUUUAUGAUGGGAAAACGCAAGAUCUAAUUUAAAUAAACCCUCUUAGCGUAUUUAUUGGUUAGGGUUGGAUUCUUCUAGCUUUAAUGCAAUUGGGUAAUUAAAUUCUCACGGUCGUACCUAGGGUUGUUAUCUGGUUAGAGAAGCAGUCAAUGGUUGUACCUUGACUAUCGAAAAAGUAAGGAAGAACUGGUUGUCAGAGCUUAUUGAUAACUAUAACCAACCUAGUGAUGAAUGGAUGAAAUACCUUUGCAUUGAUGAGCAUCUGUCUUGAGUCCAUUGAAGUGCCGUUGGUUGAGUAAUUUCUGCGUCUUUUUGUUGAAUUGGAAGGCUAUUGUGACACUUCCAUUGCACUUUCGGAAUGCAUUGUUUCUGUAUUUGACUAAAUUCAGGCCACCAGUGCUUCUUGAUUGCAAUCACUGUGCUGUUGGGGUAUUUGUACAGCUUUGAGUACCUGAAUUGUGUUUGUGUUGGUUGGAGUACCAUUUAUAGAGAAUGGUGAGACCUAAAUCCUCCUCUAGGUCUAGGACACCUAGAACUUCUCAGCCUCCUCCCACCCUAGGGGCUAACGAUUGGCUCCAACUCCGAAUGCAAGUUAAGAGACCGGAGAUUCGAGUGACCCACAUUGACAUCAACUUGCAUACCAUGGUGCAGAAUUUGGCAACAAUUAUGCACCAUGCGGGUCUUGUUCCUCAGUUUCCGUCUGACCCACCCCUGUUUUGACGACUUCAGGGAAGCACCGGUGCUCUUUUGCUUACUUUUGCUAUUAAAUUAUCACAUUGAGGGCAAUGUGUGAUUUAGGUAUGGGGGGGAUCAGUUGUGGUACUAGUAUUUCCAGUUUUUGAUUUUUAAGUGUUUUUCCUUUGUUUUUAGUUUGAUAUUUUUCUCUUUUUCGUUUAUUUCUUUUAUUCGUGAUCAGCUCUUAUUUGAAUACCAAGUUUUGAUGUUGGAUUGUUGCCUCUAAUUCUGCUCUUGCCAAGUUUUAAUAAUAAAAGGGUAUCAAGUUAAUAUGGUUGAAUUCAGGAACAUCUCUUUGGUGAAUAUCAAUAAUUGCUUAACUUUUCCAAGUUUUGGUUAACUUUUCUAGGCAUAGGGAAUGAUUGUUGGCAUUUUUCAUGUAAAUUGGUCCAAUUAUUAAUUUUAGUUCUCUAUGUUUGGAAAUUUGAGGCUGACUGCUGUUAUUUUUAGUUAUUGUGUUAUAUGAUUGUAAAUAAUAGAUAACUGUACUCCAUUAGUUGUUACUACUGAGUAACCGGGGAUUUUCACCUAAAGUGUCGAUUCUCAUGUCAAAAGGUAGCAGUUACUAUGAGUGCGUGGUCCCGUAGCGAUUGGAGCUAAGUAACCGGGCUCCUCCAUCUGUCAAAUGUUGGAGUUCGCAUCAAAACGCUCUAAGGGUUAUAAACUAAGUCUUUUGUUAUUCAAAAAAAAAAAAGAAAAAAAGAAGCAGAAGAAAACAAAAGAAGCAGAUUGUGUUAGUAUAUGAAAAAGUCAGCUUGCCGAUUUGUGAUCUUAAUAUCGAGAUUUUGGUUAAUAGUUGGACCGUUUGCUGAUAAAUAUGAGCAACCAUUCCUUUUUCUUAGAUUAGUUUGCUUUAAAUUGGAAGAGUUGGUGGUUGGGAAGCUAAUCGGGGUAAUUUUUCUUUGAUCUUGACCUGUGAUGCUUGAUAUAUGUUUUUCUGGAUAUCUUGGCAAUACGGUAGUUGGAGCAAUAGCCAUUGUCAAAUUUUGGUGUUCAAUUUCUGCUCUCAUGCUUGAGGGCAAGUAUGGUUUAGGUGUGGGGGGAAUUGAUAGGGUGUUAAUUGUUAAUAAUUUUAUUGCUAUUUUUCCCCUUUGUCCUUGCCAAAUAUUAUUUUAAUUGUUAACAUAUACUUAUUUUUGGUAUUUGGACCAAUCUACAGGAAGUGGAACUGACAAAUGCUAAAAAGGAGAUUUUAUUGAGAAAAAUCCUUCACAUGCUAGAGCCUCCAGCGGAUAUACAAGUUGGGCCCACAUGGUGUUACAAAUUCGGUUGCUGAUGGGGAGCUCUUAUUAUUGGGAGUUGACUUGUACGUGUAGGAGUCCUCCUACCAAGAGGAAACAAGAAAAAAGGAAUUCGGCAGAGGCCCAUCUUUUGUACUUAGCUUUCUCAAUUCGGUAGGGACCAUGGACUAGAGGUUUUCAUUAGUGAUUGGACUUUAAAAGGGAAGAAACGUAUAGAGGCUUGGGGAUUAUUAUGAUUAGCGUAGCUUUAGUUUUAGUGGUUAGCUAGCGUUUCCUUUUCAUGCGCACGAGGUGCUCGACAAUAUUUUUCAACGGGAAAAAAAAACAUCUUUUACUCUUGCUUUCUAGUGAAAAACUUGAUGCCUUUGCAAUCAAUUAAUUUGCGUGGAGAUUUAAUUAUGCGGCGUGGCUAAGCCUUUCAUCUAGUUAAGGAUCAACUCGAUGGUACAGUCCCAAAUAUCUGUGAGAUCUAAUUAGUUUUCACGCGUUUCUUAAUUUGUUAAUAUUUGCACGUUGCCUAUUUGAAUUUUCAAGGGAUUAUUUUGUUAAUUGGAUGUCAAGGGCCCGAUGUUCAAUAUGGCUUAUUAAUCUCCUUCCAAAUUAGUCAAUUAAAUCCGUAAUUGUUUGAUUGAUUAAUAUUAGUGGCAACUGGCGUGUUUAUACACUAGGGGAACGUGCAAUCUAAUUUAAAUAACGCUCGUAGCGUGUUAUUGAUCGGGGUUAGGUUUUUCUAGUUAUUAAUGCAAUUGAAAAAUUAAUUCCUACGAUCGUACCUAGGAGUAUUUUCUGAUUAGGAAUAAUCAAUGGUCGUACCUUGAUUAUCAAUAAAUAAAAGAAAAAUUGGUCGUUAGAAUUCGUCGGCGACUAUAACUAGCCUAUUAAUAAAUUAAGUGAACCUCCCUUGCAUCAAUGAUCGAGUAAGUGGACUGUGUCUGAGUAGUUGUAUCAUUGGCUAGAAUUUAUCUAUUCUUGAUUUAAUUCCUGCCUAUAUUCGUGCAAGUUAAUUAUUUAUUUUUAGUGAAUUUUUUAAUUAUUUUUAGUUUUACUCCGAUAAAAUCCUCCUUUAUCAAUUGGAAUCUCAAAGAGACAAAUAUCCCCAGUCCUUGAGGAGAUGACUCUACUUGCCACUGUCUACUAUUUAGUAAGUUUUGUCAACUAAUUAAUUCUGAUAUAUCGGAUUAAGCAAACUUUUCGAGAAUAGGGUGAAUCAAGUAACCCAUUACACACCUAGAGUCCCUGCUCCAGUAUUUAGGAUUAAUUAUUGACUGUUUUUAGUGGUAUUUAUAUUUUUAUUAUUAUUAUUGCAUAGGCUCGACACCUGUCAAUUUUUGUGAUGUUGACCCAAACAACAAAGGACGGGUUAUGUGAUGUUGACCCAAAUAACAAGUCUUCACUAGUGAAUGUGAUAUUUGUGAUAUCCACCUCUUUAUUACCAGUGGGCACGUGAGUUAUCUCACAAGGAGAUUCGCGAGUAUCAUCCUUUGUUCUUCAAUAUCAUCAACUUGCGUUGUGUGACAUGAGACCAUAUCAAUAUCAAAGAAUCUUUUAGAUAUGAAUUCUUUUAAAAUGAUAGAAACUCGCGACUUUUGCUUGAAUACUUGAUUUUCUUGAAGAUUGUGAUUAUUAUUAUUUUUCUCUAUAUUCUUCUCUUUUCUCUUCCAGACCAUUCUACUUCUUGUUAAGGCCUUGUUUACCUUAUUAGAUGGACGAGAGUUUCAUCUUCAUCUUCGCGUGAUCAGAGUUCAUCCAUCAUCAUCUACGUCUGAUUGUAAUGACUUCUCAUCUUCAUAUUCAUAUUUUUGAAGAGCUGAAGGGGCGAUUUUUUGUUCAACUUCUAUAGGAUCAAAUGAUCCAAAUUGAAUGGUUGGCAAUAUAGGUAUCGUAAACUUUUCGACUUCCAUGGACUGUAGUGAAUCAACGGAGGUUUGAUUCAUACUUGCUUUGUUUUUUUCAAGAAAAUUUUUUUCUUGUCUUGCCAAAUCCAUCAUCUCAUCUUUAAAGACAAAGUAUUUUUGAAUGGGAUGUCCAACCAAGCAAUGAUACUUGAUUUGGAUCAUCCGUAUUACUAAUCUCGUCAAGUCAGUUCAUCUUGGAAGCAUGAUCAAGUUCAUGCUUAACAAAUUAUCAAAUAUACUAGGAACAUCAGAAUCAAGGAAAUUGUACUUCUUGUUUUGCAUCUCCUUGAGUGUUGGUUUUUUCUUUCCUUCGUCUUGAUGCAUACUGGUUUUCUUGUCUUCUCUUUUAGCAGUUCUGAGAAUAAUCUUGAAAGGUGUUAUACUUGCAGCUAUGGCCUCUUUCUCACUUUGAUUGGGGGCUUGCCUCCUUUCCUCACUUCUUGUUUCUCCUUAGCCUUGCGAGAAUCAGGAAUUGGCGGCUCUUGUCCAUCAAGGUUAAUUUCUAUCUUAUGAGUUUUUGGGGAUAAUUCAUCAAAUAUUUCUGGUUAUACCCCUUACAAGAUAUAUCUGAAUCCCCAAUGCAAGUCUUGAAUACACAUCUCAAUAGCGGAAGACUCGAAAAUUCGAUCCUUACAGUUUAGGCUUAGAUUUUUUCGAGCGAUUGAUAAAGUUAAUAACAUGUUCAUUCUUUCACUAGCACAUAUUUUAGAGUUCAAUUAUGCUGACAGUCCUUUUCGUGCUAUAGAAGCAAUUAAGGAAUUCCUACUCUAAUUGCUCCCAACUGUCAAUGCUGCUAGAUUCUAAAUCUGUGUACCAAUCAAACGUGUUACCCUUCAAUGAGUGAACAAAUUGCUUAACUAGCAAGUCACCAUUAGUGCCAGCAUUGUUACAAUUUUCGACAAAGUGCGCAAUAUGUUGUUUAGGGUUACCUUUGUCAUCAAAUUAUUGAAACUUUGAAAAUUGAAAUCCUACAAGCAUCUUCAAACAUUUACUCUUGUGGUGUAAGGUUUGAUAUAAUUGCUAUAUGACUUGGUAUUUCCACCAAUCUUGUCCUUGAUCGUACCUUUGAUAAACUCCUUUAAAUUAUCAACAUGAAUGGUACUAUCAGGAGAGAUUGAAAACUCCUUCAUUAUUCGUGACUUGGUAUCCUCUUUCUCUUUCUUCCUUGAUGAUGAGUUACCUUCAUAUUUUUUACCAUGGCCAUUAGUUUGGCUAUUUUGGCAUCUUGACUUUGCACGUGCCCUGCUAGCCCUUCGACAAUUUGGCAAGAUUUGAAAUUUGAUCUCUACGGUUGUGGUGUUAGUCAUCAUGAUGGGCAUUACCACAGAAGUAGCUAAAUUGCUUGAGCUAUCAGCAGAUUCAUCAUGGACUCCCUUCUUGUUGGGAAAAAUCUCAAAAUUUUUUCUUUCAACCACAGCAUUCGCCUUAACCCUAUCUACUAAUUUCUUAGCCUUGCUCCUUGUCAUAGGUGUAGUAUACUGCAUCUCCUGAGUUGUUGGGAUGCCAGCAACUGAGCCUUCAAGAGCAAAACUCAUCUUCUUGGACUCCAUUGAUUCUUGAAACAAGUAAGCUAUUCAAAGAAAAGAGAUGAAAAACAGAGAUGGUCCCACCAGACGUGUCAUAAAAUUUGUGAGCAUAAAUUUUGUUGCCUAAAAUAAAGACAAGAAAAUUUGCAUAAAUAUCAAAUUUAUUAAAUCAAAUAAUAAAUGGGUUAUAAUUUUUGAAAAUUCUUGAAUUAAAGAUAUUAAUCUUCUAAUUCUUCUCUUCAAAAACUUCAAUUGAAGGGUUGAAAAGACUUGUUUACCGAUCAAGAGGGUGUUUCCUACGAUUUUGACAUAGAAAACCGCUGAUUUGAUGAUGACGUUAAAUAGUUGAUGUUGGGUUUGGAUUUUAUUCCACCAAUCGUUCAUUUUGUUGGAUUUGAGUUUUAUACCACCAACUGUGGGAUAAAACCCAAUCCCAAUAAAAUGAACGGUUGGUGGGAUAAUACUCAAAUCCAAUAAAAUGAAUGAUUGGUGGGAUAAAAUCCAAACCCAACACUUGUAUCUUUAAAUCUUCAAUGUCGAUAGAAGGAGGAUUUAUUUUAACUUGAUUUGGAUUUGAAUUUAAGGGAAAAUGCUCUCGAGAGAAUUUGACAGAAUUUCUUCAAAAUUUAGAAAUUUCAAUGUGUUUUUGUACUAAGAGAAUACCUUUAUUUAUAGGCAAAAUAUGUAGAUUAUGUCUUCAAGAAAAUUCUCCAGAACCUUCUUGCGUUUGGGUAACUUGUACCUCAAGAAACUCAUUUAACUUAGGUUUAAAUAGUGGGCCUAUUCAAAUAAUCCAUUGUGAAUUAAUACAUCAAUUAAUCCACUUUAAUUUAAAUGGGUAACACAUUGAUUUGAUUUGAUUUAAUAGCCCAUAUAUCAUUGGUCUAUUUUGUCAAUCAAAACAUAAUAGACUGCUAUAAUUUAAUUUAAUGUAAUCAAGAUCAAUUUAAUUUAUUUAAUCUUGACUAAAUAAAUUUUCUUUGUCUACAGCAUGUACGUGUAAUUUUCCAAAUAAUGAUACUUUUCAAAGAGAGUUUUCAAAUAAUGAAAGUUCUAAAACAAGGCAUUCACCGAAUGCGUGAAUGUAUCUUUUUAAACAACGCAUUUAGUCAAUACGUUUUUAAGGAAAAAUGCCUAUACAAAUAAAAGAAUGAAUUCUAUAAAUGUGUCUUUUGAGGAAACAACACAUUUACUAAGUACGUUUUUUCACUCUUUGGGAAGAAGUUCAAAAAACACCACCAUUUGAAAGGUAAUUUUAGAAAAUCCCACUUUUUGAGAAUUUACUCAAGCUUGUACUUGACAAAAUGUGUUGGGAAAAUUGUGACGUCAGGUGAAUUGUAAAACUGUUGUGCCAUCGUAAUGUAUGUUUUGCACUAGAUUGAGUAAGAAUUAUAUCAAAAUAGUCGGCCACAAUAUAGGAAUGUGAAAACUUUGUGUUAAGUAAGUUGUAAUAUUUUUGUAUCAUCUAACGUAUAUUUGAAAACGAUUGAGAAUAUAAUAUAUGGAAACAACAGGUCACAAUGUUGAAAUGUCAAACCUCUUGUUUCAAACCAAAUACUUAUUAAACUCCUUCAUAUCGCUAACGAAUUUUGAUUCUGAAGUAAUAAUAGUUUUAUUUAAUUAUUUGCCUUUUUUGGAACAAUAUUAAAAUGUAGCCAUAAAUUUAAAUUCCAAAAUUGUUGAAUACUUGAGGAAUUCUAGAAAUGGCACUGAGAGUCAAAGUUCACCUUAUUCAAAAGUCACCAGCCAUCUCAGAGUGCAUGUUUCUAUUGAGUUUCAGGUUCAAUGUGUACCCACUUCCACUUUUGGCUGAUCAAUCAGGACUAAGGUUCCGUUUGAUAAAACUGAAUCUGAAUUCUGAAAUCUGAAUACUGAAACAAUUAAUUUGCUGAAUUUUAAGUUCUGAAAAGAAAUAUAUGAAUGUCUGAAUUUUAAUGUUAAAUCUAUUUCUACUGUUUGAUAAACAUUUAUAACUGAAUGCUUAAUAAGUUAAAUUUGACAAAUUUGCCCUUAAUCUUUUCAUCCAAAAAAGAAGUAGAACCUAUGAUUUAAUUAGGUAAAAAUGUUAGGUAUGAAAAUGACAAUAUUUAUUUUUAAAUCAAAUUAAUAUAAAAGAUGAAAUAUAUUAUAUGCGGAGUGGAGAAGAUGUAAAAAUCAUUCAAAAUGGAGAAAAAAGAAAUAGAAAAUCAUUAGAUAGAGAAUAUUAGAUUGUUUAAUUAGAUAAGAAUUUUGAACAUAAUUAACAAACAAUGGUAGAUUUGAUAGAUAAGAUAAGGUAAUUGAAGUAAUUCUAUUGAUUCUUAUCAGAAUUAAGUAUUCAGUUAGGAUUUUUGUGCUGAAAAAAAUACACACAAUUUCAGCACUACUUAACAAGUUCAGCAAAUAGAUUUUCAUUUAUCAAACAUUCAAAACAUCUAAAUGUCUAAAAAAAUUUAGAUUCAACACUUUUUUAUAUUAUUAAACAGACCCUAAGAGAAUAAAAUAACUUGCUUGCUGUUAGCGAUGGCAACGGGGCGGGGUUGGGGCGGGGGACCCCUCCCCCGUCCCCCGCCCCGUUGCCUAUUAGUUCCCCCUGUCCCCCGCCCCCCCCCCCGCUUCCCCCGCGGGGUUAAUAAAAUUUUAUUAUAAUUAAAUUUUAAUAAAUAAUCAAUUACUAAAAUAUCAACACAUCACCAAAUUAUUAUUCAUUGUAAUUUUACAAUUAAAACUCAUAAAAACAAUCAAACAAAAGUUAUUUGAAUACAAUCCAAUAUGAUGAAAUAAAUAUAACUAAAAUAGUUAAGUUUUCGCUUUUAGUACAAAUGCAAUCACUAAUUCAUUAUUGUGUUUGUGCUUUUCUUUUGAGAAAAAAGUGUUAUUCUAUUAAGUGUAAUUAGAAAUUUAGUAUAAAUGUAUUAGUAAAUUUAGUAUAACUAAUUAAUAAAUUUUAUUAGUAGACAUGUAUAAUUAUUCAUAUAAUUGAUAAUAUCAAUUAUAUUACAUAAACUACUAUACAUUAUAUAAUACAUCUAACUAAUAAUAUCAUUAUCAUAAGUUUAUAACUAAUUAACUUACAUAUUAUAUAUAAUUAUAUAUAUAUUUUUUUUAGGGUGGCGCGGCGGGGGAUGGGGCGGGGGUAUACUCCCCCGUCCCCCGCCCCGUUUCUAAGCGGGGGGAAAAAUUCCCCCCCCCGCCCCAACCCCCGCCCCGAGAGCCCCCCGUGGGCACCCGCCCCCAUUGCCAUCCCUACUUGCCGUUUUUAAAAAAGGAUUCAUUAUUUUUUCUUUGAGCAUUGGUAUCUCCACCCUCAAUGACACUAAUCUGGAUUCAAUAUGAGGAGUGUCCGUAGAGGCUGACUCUUACUCGAGAGUAAAGACUUGACCCAGAGCUUUUCAAGGCGUCAUCAUAUGUAGGAGUCAAACUUAUGAACUCUGUGCAUAGAUAAUUUAGCUCCAGUCUGUGGAAUGUCUUGAUGUUAGGUGAGUUGUAAUAUUUUGGUAUCAUCUAAUGAAAUUUUUAAAAGAUUGAGAAAUAAUAUAGAGCAAAACACCAAUUUAUUCCCUAAAUUAUUUUGCUAAAAUCAAAAUACUCCGUAAAUUUAUUUUGAGUCAGUUUAGUCCCCCAACUAUUUUUACAAAGCUGAAAUAGUCCUUAAACUUUAUUAUGAGCCAAUUUAGUCUCUCAACUAUUUUGUUUAAGUGAAAUAGUACCCCACCUUUAUUUAUUUGGCCAGUUUGGUCCUUGUUUGACUCAUCCACCCAAUUUAUCAACCUUGUGCACUAACAAUCAGGGGCAAAAUAAGAAAUUUAGUCAAUGCCCUUACUAAAAUGAUAGAAGAAUUAGAUAUCUGGCAAAAUUAAAAACAAAAUUGAAUCAUAUAGAGAACAAAAAAAUAUAGUGUUUCUUAUGGAGGAAAAAAAUGGAGCUGAUGCCUAAAAUCUCACAUGGAUCCAACUCAGUCCAUUGAAUGGAGAAAAGGGAAAAUAACACAACAAGAAUAUGUUAAAAGUUGGAAAAUGUGCUAUAAUUAUGAUUACUCCUUUAAGAAAUAAAGCUGAAAGAAGCUCAAUUUCUUUUUGUUUUCCAUAUUAUUCAAUUUCGUUGUCGAUUUUUCGAUAGAUGUAUGUUUUUUUUUUUGUUUUAAUAAGGGCUAUGAUUGGAUUUCCUAUUAUGCCAUUGGCUGUCGAUGCUACACUUGAUAAAUUAGAUGGAUCAUCCAAAUAAAGACAAAAUUGGCUAUGUAAACAUUAGUGAGGGACUAUUUCAGCUUAAGAAAAAUAGUUGAGGGACUAAAUUGGCUUAUAAUAAAAUUAGGGACUAUUUCAGCUUUGUAAAAAUAGUUGAGAGACUAAAUUGACUCAUAAAAUGUUUAGGGACUAUUUUGACAUUAAGGAAAUAGUUUUGGGACUAUAAACAUUAGGUCACAAUGUUGAAAUAUCAAAACCCAUGUUUUGGACCAAAACUCAUAGAACUUCUUCACGUCGCUAACGAAAUUUGAUUAUGAAGUAAUGCUAAUUUUAUUUAUUAUUUGUUUCCUUGCUGGUCUUCUGUCUUUUUGGUUAUUCCAAAAUUGUUGAAUAUUUAAACGAAUUCUAGAAAGGGCACUGAGAGUCAAAGUCUUAUUCAAACAGCCAGCUAUCUCAAAGUACAUAUUUUUUUAUUAUCAGGUUCAAUAUGUAUCUAUUGCAAUUUUUGAAUGACCAGCCAUGACUAAGAGAAUAAAAUAAUUCACUUGCUGUUUUUAGAUAUGAAUUCAUGACUGUCAGUAGUCUAUAAAUACACUUAUUGCUCACCACUCUUUGCACCGCAAAAUCUCUUCAAGAUCCAACAAACCCUCCUGUUCUUGGUCUUUGUCCAUUUGUGAAAAAACAAAUUAAAGCGUCAUGGCCCCUAUCACUUGUAGUGCUGAGAUGACCUCCCCAAUCCCUCCUGCAAGGUUGUUCAAGGCCGCCAUCCUUGAUGACCACCCUUAAUGCCACAGGCUAUUAAGAGUGUGGAAAUCCUUGAAGGAGAUGGUGGCGUUUGAACCAUUGAGUUGAGCACAUUUGGUGAAGGUUAGAUGUUAUAUUAAAUGUAGAACCCCAAAUUUAAGGAUCUAAUAAUAAUCAAUGCGUGCAGGGUUACAGAAUUGGAGGGAUAAAACAAAUACUCAAAAUAUACGUGGAAGAAAAGAAAAAUAAUAAAUUCAACUCACAAUAUUAUUGAAAUUUCAAACAAUGAAGAAAAUCAUACCACAAUGAAUUCAACUGGUUCUAAUAAUAAUCAAAGCAUACAAGGUUACAGAAUUAAAAGGAUAAAACAAACACUCAAAAUAUAUGUGGGAGAGAAGAAAAUAAUAAAUUCAACACACAAUAUUAUUGAAAUCUCAAACAAUGAAAAAAGUCACACCAUAAUAGAAAACCUUGCUAAUGCUUCUAGAUUCUUUCUCUUGAGAAACCAACCUAAAUAAUGUUCUAUUUAUAAUCUACCAAACUUGUUAGGAAAGAAACCACUUGCAUAAGAAAUUACCAAAUAAUACAGAAAUUCCUAAAUCACACAACUACUAAAAACAUAACUCAAAUAAAACUAAAAAAUAAAUAAAUAUUACUAGGCUUAGUUUAAUUUGUCAACAUUGCCUCCUUUAAACCAUACUAUCCAUUGAGAUAGGUUCAACACCAUCUCGAGCAAUAAUUUCUAUGCAAAUCUAUGUUGUAGUACACUUGACAUGAAACUCUAACUUGUUACCAGUUAUUAAUUUCAUUUUUACACGUAACAGUGGACACACUAUGUAUUGUGUAAACAACUUCUCAGCAAUUUCUUCUUGAUCAAAGAACUCACUUAUACAAACCCAUUCAUCACCAGAAUCACCAUAUUUACCACCAAUGUAAGUGCCUAAAAAUACAAAAUCAUAGAUUUCUUUCUCGCUAAAAUUAUCAUCACCAAAUAAUUCAAAAUAACCACUACUACAAUCAUCCAAAAUUUUCAUACUGUCAGUCAACUCUUUUGGAGUAAAAUAUUUUUCAACUCCGAUGACAUCCAUAUCUAUUAAAUCAAACAUUCUCCCAUCACUUUGAAGAGAGUCCGAACCAACGAAUUUUUCAACAACAAUUUCAUGUUCUCUUCUCUUAUCAAAUCAAAAUUUUUUUCUUCUUUUGUCAAAUUACCAUAUUAUUUUUUUCAACAAAUUCAUUACUUCUAAUUUCUCCAAACAAGGUACGCAAAUCAAAACUAUCAAUUGAUUCAAAAUUUUCGAUAUCACCCAUAUUAUCAACAAAUCUAUCAUUUUUAAAAUCCACAAACCAAUACCAAUAAAUAGACUUCGGUUUGAAAGCAUAAUUUCUCCCAAUCGUGUGCAAAACAUAGUAAAUAUCCUUCCAAAAUCUCUAAAGUAUUUUAAUUAGUACGACCAAUAAAGGUUUUAUAAACACUUUUUGCCAUUAUUUUACGCAUCACUUGAAAGAAUAAUUGUGCCUUUUUCUUAAAAACAUGUUUUGACAACUUACUUGCAUCAACCCAACAAAGAAUAUCAUCCAAAUUACAUUGUUUAACAUAUUUUUCCACUAUUAAAAUCCAACCAAAAUAUGUAUGUCCAUUUGUGCUUAUAGGAGUCAAUAUGAAAAAUUUUUCACCGUGAAUCAGAUCUUUAUAAUAUUCCAUUAUUUAACAAUUUGUAUACCUGGAUAAAUUUUUUUCCUCCAUCCUGUCAUGUUUUCUUGGCCUCCCUGGUUGACUAACCAAAUUAUUGUUGUAUGUAUACCCAUGCUCGUCAAACCUCAUUUGUGUACACUCGUAAGGAGUGGUUCUGAGCUUCUUGUGAAUGCUCAGUACCAAGAAGUAGAAGAGAGAAUGCAUAAGAGAGAAUUAACUUGGCUAUAGAAAUAGGAAACAAUUGAGGGAUUUUUUAAGAAAUUAAUUCUCCAGCUACCACUUUUGGAAAUUUUCUAUCAACAACUAGUUACCAAAACACUAGCACAUAAUAAGAAAUCAGGAUAAUUUCAGAAACCUCCCUUGAGGCUUUUAAUAACCUCAAGAAGCUCCCCUCAAUAUUUUAAAAUUACACGUACCUUCCCUAUUGGUGCAAAAGUACUCUACUACCCCUAAUAGGAUACUCAAAAGACUUUUUUUUAUGGGAAAAAUGAAGCUCAGAAAUCCAAGCAAAAUCAAAAAAAUCAAUUGAUUUUCUCUUUUAGCCUUUUACACUUUUGCCUUCUACCUUUGCUCACUUUCCCAUCCCAAUCUUCCUACACCCGCUUUCCCAAUCCCCUUUCCCCAACUUUUCUCCUCUACUUCAAGACCAAUUUUUGUCUAUCUAUCCUGGCUUGUGCUUUGUUCCAUUCCCUUCCCUUCUCCUUCUUUGAUUUCGCCUACAUCUCCCUUUCUCUUUGCAAAAGUGACUAGGCUCAUGUCUCUCUUUUUCCCCCCUAUUCUAAGUGUAGUGGGUUUGAUUAUUUUGCAUCUAUUUUAUUUGAUUUGGGUUGAUUAUGGGUGAUAGAACUUGGCGAUGUCAAAUAUCAAAAGUUUGAUAGAUGGAUAUUGGGCUUUAGACAAUGAUUUGCUGAAAAAAAUGGCUGCAAUGAGACAAAGAGGCAAGGGGAUUUGAGUGUGGGGUUGAUUGUUGAUAAAUUGUUGUUUUGGACAAAAUUUGAGGUUGAGUUUUAUUAAAUUUGAUAGCAAGUGGCGAGUUUUGUUCAGGUUGCGGGAAAUAAAUUAGAUUGUGGUUUCUUGGGCACCCACAGUUGUUGGAAUUGGUUUUGAUUCAAAUUAGGGUGGUUACUUGAUUUUCCUAAUAGUGUUGCUUAAAAGCACACGAUCAUCAAAAUUCCUUAUUUUUAUCUUUUGUUUUUUCUUGUAGAAAAGAUUUCACGACUUUCGUGAUAGUCUAAUUUGGAAGAAGGCAAUCAAGGGAUGCAAUCAACAUUUAGCAAAAGCUCUUGUUCUUUCCUUUGUAAUUUUUAGGGUAAAAAGGGUAGUUUAGGGUAUUUGAAGGAAAUGAUAGUCUAUUGGGUCUAUUUUCAAGCAUAAAUAGUGAACGUAAGGGAGGUUGGUGUAAUUUCUGAAACCUAAGGGAAAUUGUCUGAAAUUGUUCGAGACCUCAGAGGAGGUUUUCGAAAUUAUCCCUAAGAAAUCAAAUGCGAAACUUGAUUAGUACACGCACACACGACACCGCACCACGCCGCGCGUGUGUUGAGGAUUGGUGUCCGUAACCAACGACAAGCAGGUUUUCAAUUUUUUUUUCCUUUCCUGGAUUCUCCAGAGAUGGUGUCAGCUUCUAUUAUUGAUGAGCAGGAGGAAAUCCACAAUAUACAGUACACAUCACCCAUAUUCUUUUUAAUUGAACAAUGUAUGAAAUUAUGGUGAUUCGAAAUUAAAUUAUAUGUUUAUUGGGCACUGAAUCCAAAAUAAGAGUUGGAAAUGUAUUGUGACAACAAUUGUUAACAUAGGCCACAAAUGAUCAAAACAAAUAUUUAAGGUUUAAUAUGACAUUAUGGGUUCAGAAUAUAGUUACUUGUUAUGAAACAACUAAAAGUAUGGAUAUCCAUUUGUAUUUUCAAGAGGAUCAAUUCAUAAUUCAUUGCUCCCAAGAGGAUUAAUUCAUAAUACAUUGCUACAUUAUGUAAAGGAAUUGCAUUGGAUGAACGGUUUCAAUCCAUAAAAGCUAUUUAUGUAUUGGAUGAACCGUUUCAUAUGGCUAUUCAUGUUCUUGUAGUAAUGAGUGUUUAAUAGAAUUGAUGUACCUUUAAUUUUGUAGUACCUAUAUAUACAGGUACUUUGGCACCUCUUGGGUAUACUUUUUGAUUAGUUGGAAUAAUAAGAAAAUUAUUCUUCAUUUCUGUACUUCUUUCUCUAAUAUUUCAAUUCCUAUUAUAGUAGUUCAUUUUUUUUAGUUUUACAACACGUUAUUAGCAUGAGUCUCUACUUUUGAACAAAAAGGUGAAAACGGAGCCUCUACCUUAAAAAAAAGUGAAACACGAGAUUCUGCCAAAAUUUUGCCCGUAUUUUUCCGGCAACUUCUGUCCACUUAUUGAGAAAUGGAUGCCAAAUAUUUGGGAUUAAAUAAUGGUGAUGAUGAUAUUUGUCUCAUUGAUAGUGCUACUACGCACACUAUAUUGAAAAAUAAAAAAAAAAUUUCUUGUAUGAAAAUGGGAGAGACAAAUGUUAAUACCAUAACUGGUAGUGCAAAAUUGAUUGAACGCUCCGGAAUAGCCUCUCUAUUUCUUCAUGAAGGGACUAAAAUUGUCGUAAAUAAUGCACUACUGUCUCCCAAGUCUCGGAGAAAUUUAUUGAGUUUUAAAGAUAUCUGCGAAAAUGAAUACUAUAUAGGGAUAAUGACUGAGACAAAUGGAGAAUUUUUAUUAAUCACAAGUAUCAUUUCUGGGCAGAAAUGCGUAGUAGAAAAAUUACCUUCUUUUUCUUCUAGCUUAUAUUAUGCACAAAUUAGUGCAAUUGAAAUUUAUCACCUAGUAGACCAGAAGUCUACUCAUCCCAAUAAUUUUAUGAUUUGGCAUGAUCGUCUCGAAAAUACUGAAUCUAUAAUGAUGAGACGAAUAAUCAAGAAUUUACAUGGUCACUCAUUGAAAAAUUAAAAGAUAUUAAAAGCAAAUGAAUUCUCCUGUGUUGCUUGUUCCCACGGAAAAUUAAUUAUUAGACCAUCACCAGUUAAAGUUGGGACUGAAUUCCCUACAUUUCUAGAACGAAUUCAUAGUGAUAUAUGUGGACUCGUAGAUCCACCAUGUGGACCAUUUCGAUAUUUUAUGGUGCUAAUUGAUGCAUCAACUAGAUGGUCACAUGUAUUUUUAUUAUCUACUCGCAACUUGAUAUUUGCGAGAUUGCUUGCUCAAAUAAUUAAAUUGCGAGCACAAUUUUCAGACUAUCUAAUAAAGAAAAUUCAUUUAGAUAAUGCUGGUAAAUAUUCGUCACAUGCUUUUGACAAUUAUUGCAUAUCUAUUGGAAUAACUAUUGAACAUCUUGUAACUUAUGUUCACACACAAAAUGGUCUAGCCGAAUCAUUUAUUAAAUGGUUACAAUUAAUUGCUAGACCAUUGUUGAUGAGGUCUAAACUUCCUUCAUCUGCUUGGGAAUAUGCUAUAUUAUAUACAGCAAUACUUGUGAGAAUUAGACCGACAAGUUAUCAUACUUAUUUUCCUCUAUAAUUAACUUUUGGUUAUAAGUCAAAUAUUUCUCAUUUACGAAUAUUUGGUUGUUCGGUUUAUGUUCGAAUUGCACGGCCCCAAUGUCGUAAAUUGGGUCCACAAAGAAGAUUGGGGAUAUAUGUCGGAUAUAAAAUCACCUUUAAUUAUUAAGUAUAUGGAACCAUUGACAGGUGAUUUAUUUACUGCAAGAUUUGCAGAUUGUCAUUCUAAUGAAUCACAUUUUUCGACAUUAGGGGGAGAUAAAAAUCAAUCGAAAAAGAAAAUCACUUGAAAAAUAUCAUUCAAUUUUCUCGAUUCUCGUACCAAAGAAUGUAAACUAGAAGUUCAAAGGAUUAUACAUUUGCAAAAAAUUACAAAUCAACUACUGGACGUAUUUAAUGACUCCAGAAGAGUUAUUAAAUCACAUAUUUUUAUUGAAAAUACUCCGAUUAAAAUUAAUGUCCUUGAAGGACAAAUUACAAGUGUUAAUGAGUGUAAAGUGCGCCUGAAGCGUGGGAGACCUCUUGGUUCUAAAGAUAAAAAUUCUCGAAAGAAAAGAGAAAUUGAUGAAUCAACAAUUAGUGACAAAAUUCAACCUCCUGAAGAAGUCGCUCCUAAAGAGCCAAUUCUUGAAGAUAAUGAAAUUAUAGAAAAUUCAAUAAAUUUUGUCGCUUCAGGAAAAAGUUGGAACAAAAAAAAAUUAUUAAUAGUAUUUUUGCAUAUAAUGUAGCACUUGUUAUUAUGGUAGGUAAUGAAGAUCGUGAGCAUAGAUCGGUUGAUGAAUGUCGACGUAGAAAUGAUUGGCCAAAAUGGAAAGAUGCGAUUCAAUCUGAAUUGGACUUACUAGCUACAAGAAAAGUUUUUGGGCCUGUAGUCCAAACACCUGAAGGUGUAAAGUCAGUAGGAUAUAAAUGGGCAUUUGUGAGAAAAAGAAAUGAGAAAAAUGAAAUCGUGAGGUAUAAAGCAAGACUUGCAACCCAAGGAUUUUCACAAAGGCCUGGAUUUGAUUAUGAUUACACGUAUUCACCUGUAGUGGAUGCUAUCACAUUUAGAUAUCUUGUGAGUUUUGCAGGACAUGAAAAAUCAGAUAUGCAUCUAAUGGACGUCGUUACUGUAUAUUUAUAUGAAAAUUUUGAAAAUGAUAUUUAAACGAGAAUCCCUGAAGGAUUCAACAUGCCUGAAGCAUGCAAAUCAAAUUUUAAAGAUAUUUAUACUAUUAAAUUACAAAGGUAUUUGUAUGGGUUCAAACAAUCUGGACGUAUGUGGUACCGCCUCAAUGAAUGUUUAACUAAAGAAGGCUAUACCAAUAAUCUAAUACAUCCAUGUGUCUUUAUCAAGAAAAAUGGACUAAUUUUAUGAUAAUUGUUGUCUAUGUUGAUAAUCUUAAUCUGAUUGGAACUCUUGAAGAGAUUCAAAAUAGUGUUGAAUAUUUGAAGAAGAAGUUUGAAAUCAAAGAUUUUGGAAAAACAAAAUUCUACAUUGAUUUACAAAUUGAGUGAUAGGUUGCAAUUUUAUCAUUUAUUUUAUUAUUAAUUUUCCCUAUUACUUAACCCAAUGUGAAUUAAUUAUUAGAUUCUACUCACUUUUAGUAUUUUACAUAUAUUUCAGGGAGUAGAACGAAAAUACCAUAAUAAGUGCCGAUUUGACAGUUAUCAGGAAAGAGUUCAAGUAGCAGGCAUCCAGGGCAUUUUUGGAACAAGGAGAUACAAGUCCUUUUUGGUAAUUCGCAGAGCGCAGCAUUAAAAGGAGGAACGAAGGGCUGAAGUAGGGAGUCUUCUUCCCCCUGGGAGGAACCGCCGCACAGCAGAGGGCUGUCUGGUCCUCUUAGUUUUUCCGUUUCUUUAGUUUUAGCUUCGGAUUUUGACUUUUCUUCUCGUAGGAAUUUUGGGUAGCCUUGAGCUUAGCAACUUUUGUUGACCCUUUUUUGGCCUUUUAGCUAGUUUGUUCUUACGCAUGGAAGAUGGCUGAAUAGCUGAGGCUUGUUCUUUGUUUUUCUUUGACUUUUCCUUUUGGUUUGCUUCCUGCGGACGCCCAGACCGAAGGAAAACUAUGAAGUCCCUUUUGUAGCUUUCUCUCUUUAUUAAAUAGACGAAUUGAAUUCCCUCAACUUGCGAAUUGAUGGCCGCAGCUUUUGCUUCAAUUUCUUGUGGGUUUAGUUCAUUAAUUAUGAACUAAUUCUACAAUUCUAGUCAAGGGGACAACUGACGAUUUGGUUCGACAAUUACUGUGAGAUCGAAUCUGUUUUAAUUAUUUUCUUCAUUUAUUGGUAUUUAUAUGUUCCUUGAUUUUAAUUGCUAUGGCCUUGUGUAUGAUUGAUUAGUGCGCAAUAAUUAAUUAUUCAUAUAGGCUAUUUUGCUAAAUAGAGGUAAUUGAAUCCGUAAUUGUUCGUUAUCUCUAUCUUAGUAGCAACUGGCGUAAUUGGGUUUAUGUCAGGGGAGCAUAUGAUCUAGCUUAAACAAACCCUCGUAGCGUGUUUGUUGGUUAGGAUUGGGCCUUUCUAAUUAUUAAUGCAAUCUAGAAAUUAAAUCUUACGGUCGUACCUAGGGUUGUUUUUGGGUUAGAGAAAUAGCUAACGGUCGUACCUUAGCUAUCGAUAAAUUAAGGAAGGGUUGGUUGUUUAUCGCGUGCAUGACAACUAUAACCAAUCUAUUAAUAAAUGUUGGGAUUAUUUUUGCAUCAAUGAUCAGUGCAUGAACCAUUUCUGAAGUAUACCCUUGGCUAGAGUUUCUCUUAGUUAUUUCUUUUAAUUAAUUAUUUUCUGCAGUUAAUUUAUUUAGUUAGCAUUUAAUCCAAAACCCCCCAUACUUUGGACUCUAAAAGAAACAAUUACUCCCAGUCCCUGUGGAUUCGACCCUGCUCACCGCUAUCUACAGAAAUCACUUUUAGUUUGAGCAGGUAUUUAUUAUUGCACAGGCUUCGACGACCUGUCAAUCUUUGGCGCCGUUGCCGGGGACUGGUGCCAGAUUAAAUUGUUUCUUUUUGAGUUUAUCUUGUUUUCAUUUUUUUAAUUUAUUUUUCUCUUAUUUUUUAUUAUUAUUAUUAUUUUUUUUAUGGCUGCUAACAUUCCAUAUUUUGAUGAUAGACUGGAUUUUGUUCCUGAAUGGGGUUAUGAGACUCAUGUUUUUCCUAACGAUCAAUGGGCUGUUGCAAAUUGUGGAACUUAUUUUGACUCAAGUUAUUCAACUGACACAUGCCCCGUAUUUCAAGAUAAUUUAAGUUCUCCACUUGAUACUUUUGGAGAUUUUUCACCCCAAUAUCAAACGUGGUAUGACCCUUAUUCAAACGGGUAUGAUCAAGGAUGGUGGGAUAAUUCCAAUUUUGAUUAUGCGACCGGGCCAAUGGAUUUUCAACAGCAAGAGUCUCAGCAAUCAUCCUCCGUGUCAGGUAUGUCUCUUGAAGAAAUGAUAGGUUUACUAAUUGCUAAUUCAAAUCGAUUUCAUCAGGAGACACAAGCGAGCCUAAAUCGAUUUCAUCAGAGGACACAAGCGAGCUGUCGCGACCUGGCGGAUCAACUGCGUCAAUUGACAGCCAGGAUGCAGCGAUUAGAGGCUCACCUUGAAGAAUUGCCCUCGCAAACCAAUAUCAAUCUUGAGGAAGAUGAGAGUGCAAUUGUCCGGGCAAAUGACAUGGAACUGCAAGAGUUUCAAGAAAACGGAUUUAAAGAUGCAGUUGAAAAGGAAGCUGAAGUGCAAGAAAUGAGACUCCAAGAUCAACUCGUUCAAGUGAAUGAAUCCAGUGAACAAUCUCCAAAUGCGGUGACAUCUUCUCCACUCCUUAAUCAAUAUUUUCCUGGCUCCUAUUCUUCAACUCCUGUUACUGAAAUUGAUUUUAUUAUACCAGAAAAUUUAAAAUUUCAUGACAGGAAUAAGUUAAGAGUGGAGAUGGCAAAAUAUCUUGAACCAAUGAAUGCGUGUGAUGGAGGAGUGAGUGGAGAAUGCAGAUCAUUGUUGACUUGUUUAGCGCCAUUUACUAGUCCAUGGAAGCCCGUAACUCGUGUGCCCAAGAAUUACUCCAUCUAUGAGGGUUACCAGGAUCACGUUGAAGAUGAAGCAUUGAAGCGAGCCACAAGAUUUUAUCCUCCAUGAGCAAAACAUGAUAAUGUCUAGCCAAAGACAUUAAAGAAAGGCGCUCAUUGGGAGGCAACCCAAUUUCUUUUAGUUGUUUGUUUGAUUUUAUUUGUUAGUUUAAAUCUGUCUUCCUUGAAUUUGACUGAUUUUGGGUGUUAAUUUUCGUUUUUACUGAUUUGUAGGUGACCUUCAGUCAUGACGCGCCCGCGUGGUGACGUGCAGGAAGCUCACGAUCAGAAACUUCUGGGAGCUCUCUUACCCUCAUGACGUGCCCGCGUCAAGUCACCUGGAGAGUUCCAGAUUCCGUGCCUUCAUGGUGUGCCCACGUCACGUUCACGGGAGAGAUAAGUAUUUAAAAAAAAAAUUCAAAAACGAUUGUUGAUUGUUGGUUAUCUCUGCUUUUGAAUCUCGAAAAUAAAAUUUGCUAAUGAAAAUAAAUUUCAAAAAAAUAAAAAAAAAUUUUUUAAAAAAAAAAAUUUAAAUUUUUGUUUCACGGUAGCUUAGAUUUUCAAAUCCUAAAAAAAAAAAAAAACACAGAAACUCUUUCUUAUCAACGUAGCUUUAGUGUCAAAUAUUUUAAAAAAAAAAAAGUCUCAAAUGAAAAAAAAAAAGGGCUUUUCUUUUUCUUUCUUUUCUUUCUUUCUUCUUCUUUCUCUUUUCUGUCUUCCUUCUCCCCUGUUUCUUCUUCCUCUCUGUUGACCGAAGCCCUCUGUCCGCCGCCGCUGCUGAAGCGCCCUCAGCCGUCGCGCAGCAGCUCCUCACUCGAAGACGCCGCGGCCACAGCACCUCUGCACGCGGCCUCCACCUCUCCAUCGCGCGCCGUCAAGAGCUCCGCCGACCCACGACGCGCGAGGCACCAGCUCGCGCGCCUCCCCCACCUAGCAACUGCUGGCCGACCAGCCCCACCACCAGCCCGCGCCGCACCUGCUGGCCGACCUAUCAACUCCUAAGCUCGCGAACCUCCUCAGCUCAGCUCCACCAGCGAGCUGCUCCUCGCUCACUCCAUCGCGUGAAGACCAGGCGAGCACGGCCCGCAGCCUCUCACCGCCACUGCGCACCUCUGACCAGCUCGCAGCACCUCUCUCUGCCCUCCGUGCGCUGCCCGCGCGUGGCACCAGCGCCUCCACAGCUCGUCGACGAAGCCCAAGCUGACAGACCACGCCGCUCGUCCACUUCCACCACUCGCGACGCACAGAUCAGCGCUGCCGUUGGUUGCCCAACCUCCCUGGUGCCAGGUUUUUCUUACUAAUUUUGUGGUCUACGAUUCCAAUUUCUUGAUGAUGGGAUUUUUGAUGAUUACGAUUUCAUUGAGUAAAUUUGAUUGGCUUGCAUCUGUGUUACUGGAGCCCGUGGGUUGGGUUAUGACCUGCAACUGAUUUGCCUAGUCUAAUAUAAUUGUCAUUUGUUUGGGCUCUUGAAGUACUGUCUAGUGUUGUUUGUAUUUCUUAGUGAAUUGAGUUUGCCGUUUGAUUUCAUUCUUCCCUGUGCGUACACCAGUGGUACUGGUUGUGGUAGUUGCCUAACAUUUAUUCAUUCUCAUUGGUGUGGCUGUUGGGAUUGAAAGCUCAGAACUUGUGACUAAGUUGUUAUUGCCUAAAUGCUGACCUGCUAUUACUAGACUUGCUGAUUUCUUGGGAGCAUUUGUUGGGAUUUUGGGUGGAUAUUAGCAAGUGGUAUAUUGCUUGAUUUUUUUUACCUGUGCCUUGCUUGGAGUUUCUAGUGCAUGUUUGGGGCUGCCUUGGGAGUUAUUUGCCACAAUUGAUUGCCGUUUUGGUUUCUUCUGUUUCUGGUACUGCUUGUGCUGAUGGAUUUAUCAGUGUUUUGGGCGGCUUAUUUGAAUUGCUUCUUCCCUGUGUGUUUGGUCAGCUGUUUGCUUGAAAACCCAAACCCUUGUGCUUAUAUUUGCUCCCAGUUGAGUUAUGUGUUGGACUUUCCAAUUGGUGACAACUUUUGGGCUUUAGGGGUGAGUUCAUUUUGUCAUUAUUUGCUACCUUGUUGGGGUCAUUUUUGGUUUCACCUGAGUCUAUUGUCCUGCCUUCUGUUUUGAGUCCAUUGGAGUGACGUGAGUUGAGUAAUUUCUGCUUUUGUUUGUUGAUUUGGAAGGCUACUGUGCCACUUUCAUUGCUUAUUGCUUAGUGAUUAUGUCUAAUUAACAAUGUGCAUAGCAUGGCGCAGAAUUUGGCAGCAUUCAUGUAGCAUGCCGGUCUUAUACCUCAAUUGGGUACCUCUAUUUGGUUGGCUGCGUUCUUAUUGUCCAAUAUCUAUGCUGUUUUCAAUGGAAUUGCUGAUCUUGGGUUAAGACUUUAGCUGGCCAACUGGAGCCAUUUGUUGAGAUUUUGGGUGAACUGCAAUACUGCACUCGUUUGUUCAAUUGGGAGGUUUCUUUUGGUAUUCUGGUUGAGUUAUUUCUAAAGUUGCCUGAUGAAUUGAGAGACAUAGAUGGCUAUUGCUCUGCCCUGAUAUUGCUUGGUUGCCAGUGCGCAUUCUCUAUGCCAAGUGGCAAGGAUGUCUCAGAACUCGGCUUCCCUCCACUGUUCCCUCCUAUCCCUUAGCUGUUCAGCAGGGAAGUCUCGUUAUCCUCUUCGCUUUAAUUAUUUUAUUACCUCCAUUGAGGACAAUGUAGGAUUUAGGUGUGGGGGGAGCAGUUAUGGUGCUAGUGUCUUUCGUUCAUUUUCUUUUUCUUCUUUUUAGUGAUUGGCUCGUAAGUGCAUGCCAAGGUUUGAUGUUGGAUUAUUGCCUCUAUUUCUACUUUUGCCAAGUUUUAAUAAUAAAAGGGUAUCAAGUUAAUGUGGUUGAAUCCAAAAACAUCUCUUUGGUGAAUAUCAAUAAUUGUUUUACUCUUAUAAUUUUUUGGUUAACUUUCCUAGGCAUAGGGAAUGAUUAUUGGCAUUUUUAGUGAAUUGGUCCGGUUAUUAACCUUAGUUCUCCAUGUUUGAAAAUGAGGCUAGCUGAUGCAAGUUUUCUUUUGGUUCUUGUGUUAUAUUGAGUUUUUGUGAUUUUUAGCUCUGAAUAAACUUGACUGUACUCCGCUAUUAGUUACUACUGAGUAACCGGGGAUCUGCACCUAAAAGUGUUGAUUCUCGCGUCAAAAGAUAGUAGUUCCUAUGAGUACGUGGUCACGUGGCGAUAGAAGCUGAGUAACCGGGCUCCUUCAUCUGGCCAAUGUUGGAAUUCGCGUCAAAAGGCUCUAAUGGCUAGCGACUAAGUCUUUUGUUACUAUUGAAAAAAAACGAGAAAGAAGAAGAAGAAAAAAAAAAGAAAAAAAAGAGAAAAGUAGAAAAAUGUGAAAGAAAAAGUGAAUGCUGUGUUAGUGUAUAAUAAAAGUCAGCUUGCCGAUUUAUGGAUUUAAUGUUGAGAUUUUGGUUAAUAGUUGGACCAUUUGCUGAUAACUGUUAUGCGUCAUUCCUUUUUCUUAGAUUGGUUAACAUGAAAUUAGAGGAAUUUAUGGUUUAGAAGCUAACCGGAGUGAUGUUUCUUGGACUAGACCAUUGAUGCUUGAUUAUUAUAUUUUCUUGGUAUCUUGGCAAUAUGGUAGAUGGAGUAAUAGCCAUUGGCAAGUGUUGGUGUUUAUUUGCUGUUCUCAUGCUUGAGGACAAGCAUGGUUUAGGUGUGGGGGGAAUUGAUAGGUUGCAAUUUUAUCAUUUAUUUUAUUAUUAAUUUUCCCUAUUACUUAACCCAAUGUGAAUUAAUUAUUAGAUUCUACUCACUUUUAGUAUUUUACAUAUAUUUCAGGGAGUAGAACGAAAAUACCAUAAUAAGUGUCCGAUUUGACAGUUAUCAGGAAAGAGUUCAAGUAGCAGGCAUCCAGGGCAUUUUUGGAACAAGGAGAUACAAGUCCUUUUUGGUAAUUCGCAGAGCAGCAGCAUUAAAAGGAGGAACGAAGGGCUGAAGUAGGGUCUUCUUCCGCCUGGGAGGAACCGCCGCACAGCAGAGGGCUGUCUGGUCCUCUUAGUUUUUCCGUUUCUUUAGUUUUAGCUUAGGAUUUUGACUUUUCUUCUCGUAGGAAUUUUGGGUAGCCUUUAGCUUAGCAACUUUUGUUGACCCUUUUUUGGCCUUUUAGCUAGUUUGUUCUUACGCAUGGAAGAUGGCUGAAUAGCUGAGGCUUGUUCUUUGUUUUUCUUUGACUUUUCCUUUUGGUUUGCUUCCUGCGGACGCCCAGACCGAAGGAAAACUAUGAAGUCCCUUUUGUAGCUUUCUCUCUUUAUUAAAUAGACGAAUUGAAUUCCUUCAACUUGCGAAUUGAUGGCCGCAGCUUUUGCUUCAAUUUCUUGUGGGUUUAGUUCAUUAAUUAUGAACUAAUUCUACAAUUCUAGUCAAGGGGACAACUGACGAUUUGGUUCGACAAUUACUGUGAGAUCGAAUCUGUUUUAAUUAUUUUCUUCAUUUAUUGGUAUUUAUAUGUUCCUUGAUUUUAAUUGCUAUGGCCUUGUGUAUGAUUGAUUAGUGCGCAAUAAUUAAUUAUUCAUAUAGGCUAUUUUUUGCUAAAUAGGGGUAAUUGAACCCGUAAUUGUUCGUUAUCUCUACCUCAGUAGCAACUGGCGUAAUUGGGUUUAUGUCAGGGGAGCAUAUGAUCUAGCUUAAACAAACCCUCGUAGCGUGUUUGUUGGUUAGGAUUGGGCCUUUCUAAUUAUUAAUGCAAUCUAGAAAUUAAAUCUUACGGUCGUACCUAGGGUUGUUUUUGGGUUAGAGAAAUAGCUAACGGUCGUACCUUAGCUAUCGAUAAAUUAAGGAAGGGUUGGUUGUUUAUCGCGUGCAGGACAACUAUAACCAAUCUAUUAAUAAAUGUUGGGAUUAUUUUUGCAUCAAUGAUCAGUGCAUGAACCAUUUCUGAAGUAUACCCUUGGCUAGAGUUUCUCUUAGUUAUUUCUUUUAAUUAAUUAUUUUCUGCAGUUAAUUUAUUUAGUUAGCAUUUAAUCCAAAACCCCCCAUACUUUGGACUCUAAAAGAAACAAUUACUCCCAGUCCCUGUGGAUUCGACCCUGCUCACCGCUAUCUACAGAAUUAAUUUUAGUUUGAGCAGGUUUUAUUAUUGUACAGGCUUCGACAACCUGUCAUUGAGCAUUUGAAAAGUGAAAUUUUUGUCCACCAAACUGCUUAUACCCGGAAGGUAUUAAAGUAGUUUUAUAUGGAUAAGGCAUAUACAUUAAGUACCCCAAUGGUCAGAUCAUUAGAUCCUAAUAAGGACCCUUUUAGACCGCGAGAGGAAGUUGAAGAGAUACUUGGUCCUAAAGUACCAUAUCUCAGUGCAAUUAGUGCACUAAUGUAUCUUGCUAAUUGUACAAGACCUGAUAUAUCAUUUGCAAUAAAUUUAUUAGCAAGAUUUAGUUCUCGCUCACAAGACGACAUUGGAAUAGUAUUAAACAUAUUUUUUGUUAUCUCCAAGGAUCAAUUGAUCUUGGCUUAUUUUAUUCAAAUAAAUCUAAACUUGAAUUGUUUGGUUAUGUUGAUGCUGGAUAUUUAUUUGGCCCACAUAAAGUAAGAUCUCAGACUGGUUAUCUAUUUACAUAUGGAGGUACAACCAUUUCUUGGCGAUCUACAAAGCAAUCAUUAGCUGCCAUUUCAUCGAAUCAUGCUGAAAUAAUAGCAAUUCAUGAAAUUAGUUGAGAAUGUGUUUGGUUAAAAUCAAUGACCCACUAUAUCCGGAAAAGUUGUGGGUUAUCCUCCGAAAAAGAAAAUCCUUCAACUAUAUUAUAUAAAGAUAAUGCAGCUUGUAUAACUCAAUUGAAAGGAUGAUAUAUUAAAAGAGAUAGAACGAAAUAUAUUUCACCAAAAUUCUUUUUUACUCAUGAUUUACAAAAGAAUGGUGAAAUUGAUGUGCAACAAAUCUGAUCAGAUAAUAAUUUGACAGAUUUAUUUACCAAUGCAUUGCCAACUGCAAUAUUUAAGAAAUUGGUGAAGAAUAUUGGAAUGCGACGACUAUAAGAUCUCAAAUGAUAUUUGCAUCCGGGGGAACAAUCAAUACACAAGAAUAGUGUACUCUUUUUCCUUCAUUAAGGUUUUUAUCCCGUUGGAUUUUUUCCUAGUAAGGUUUUAAUGAGACACAUUCUUUGUGUAAUGGACAUCCAAUGGGGAGUGUUAUGAAACAACUAAAAAUGUGGAUGCCCAUUUGUAUUCUCAAGAAGAUCAAUUCAUAAUUCAUUGCUUCCAAAAGGAUUAAUUCAUAAUUCAUUGCUACAUUAUAUAAAGGAAUUACAUUGGAUGAACGGUUUCAAUCCAUAAGAGCUAUUCAUGUAUUGGAUGAACCAUUUCAUAUGGUUAUUUAUGUUCUUGUAGUAAUGAGUGUUUAAUAGAAUUGAUGUACCUUUAAUUUUGUAGUACCUAUAUAUAGAGGUACCUUGGCACCUCUUGGAUGUACUUUUUGAUUAGUUGGAAUAAUAAAAAAAUCAUUCUCCAUUUCUGUACUUUUUUUUCUAAUAUUUUAAUUCCUAUUAUAGUAGUUCAUUUUUUUUUUAGUUUUACAACAUUACUCAAAGAAGAGGGUUAUUGGACUAUAUGUUUAUUGACCUCUACUAGGGAUGACAAUGGGGGCGGGUGACGGCAAUGGGGGCGGGUGACCGCGGGCACCCGUCCCGCGGGGGGCUAAUGGGGAGAGGGAUGGGGCCGGGGCGGGGGGUAGGGGAGUGUACCCCCGCCCCAUCCCCCGUCCCGCUACCCGCUUUAAAAAAAUAAAUAUAUAAAAUAUAUAUAGGUAUAUAAUUAUAUAUAUAAUAUAUAAUUUAAUUGGUUACAAACUUAUGAUAAUAAUAUUAUUAGUUAUAUGUAUUAUAUGAUGUCUAUUAGUAUAAAUAAUAUAAUUGAUAUUAUUAAUUAUACUAAUAAUUAUAUAUGUGUACUCAUACAAAUUAUUAAUUGGUUAUACUAAAUUUACUAAUACAUUUAUACUAAAUCCCUAAUUACACUUAAUACAAUAACAUUAUUUUCAUAAAAAAAACACAACCACAAUAAUGAAUUAGUGAUUGUAUUUGUACCAAAAGUGAAAAUUUGAUUACUUUAGUUAUAUUUUUUUCAUCAUGUUGGAUUGUAUUCAAAUAAUUUUUGUUUGAUUGUUUUUAUAAGUUUCAAUUGUAAAAUUGCAAUGAAUAAUAAUUUGAUGAUGUGUUGAUAUUUUAGUACUUGAUUAUUUGCUAAAAUUUAAUCAUAAUAAAAUUAUAUAACAAAUUUUUAUUAGCUCAGCGGGAGCACCCGCCGGAGAAGCGGGGCAGGGUGGGGACGGGGCGAGGGAAGCGGGGGAUGGGGGAGGGGUCCCCCGCCCCAACCCUCUUCCCCAUCUCCCGCCCCGUUGCCAUCCCUAACCUCUACUAACUUAUUUAAGGUCAUUUUAUAUCACUAUCCAAAGAAGAAUUAAGGUCAUUUUAUAUCACUAUCCAAAGAACAAUUCUUGGGCGUUAACAUUUUUCUUACAUGCCAAGACUAUUAAUGAAAGUUGACCCAAAUCUCUCUCUCUCUUUCUCUCAAUUCUUAGGACUGAUGCCAAUUCUUACCAUUUAGAAAGAAAAAUUAGAUUGUUUAUAUAUAUGAUGAGUUCCCUCUAAGUCAUGGUUAAGAAAAAUUCUUAGUUAGACGCAGUUUUAUGAAAUGUGAAUUUCCUUUUCUUUGUCUUUAUUCGUUAGUAUUAUUGGGGUUAUUGUAUUAUGAUUGCAAUGCACAGAUACAUGGAUUUUUGACAUUUUUUUCUCAUUUUUUCUUUUUAAUUGACUCUGACUAUGUCUCAAACUCGAGACAUCAAACCUGGAGAAGACUUUUGUCCAAAAUGCUUGUAAAAAUUCAGAAGAAUAAUGUUGGACCUUAUUAUUUAAUAAUGGUGCAAUUAUGAGAGUCAUUCCUGGUUUAAUUAUCAACAUCAUGUCAUUAUUAUUUUUUUGUUUCAUAGAAAAAUAAAGUAUUCUCCGACUCGACAUUAUCAUAUUAUUUUCAAUUGGCAGCUUUAAGUGAGAAAGGCCGGUGAAAAUUUUGGGCAUUACUAGUUUAUUUAGGCCUCACGCGCUCCGUGAAGGUGCCGACGUCAUCUUCGUUUUAAUGGAAAAAUUUGAGCGCGCUUUGAUCAUAAGGAAUUCACAAUCAUCGGGCCAACAAAGAAAGCACUAAAUGGUUAAAACAAACCAUGCAAAUUUGCUCAGCACUUAAACAAUAGACUCCUAAACCGACCAUUUUACUGUCUUGCCAAAAAAGGGCAUUAAAGUAAAAACAACCCAUGCCUAACACAACUAACAAACUUCAGCACCUUCACUUCACUGCCACGUCAUCAACAACAUCUGUAAAUUUCCAAGGAAGUCCACGCACUAAAGGUGCCAUGGGGGACCUCAGGUUAGUGUUCUUAACAUCAACUCCUGUCUUUAUAUUCUUAGGAAAUAUUGAAAUUAAACAUUAUAACUAAUCCUGAUUUCCUUAUGCUGUAUUUGUACACAAUUUGGCAACUUGAUAAAAAGUUUGUUCCAAUUUAUUCCAAUUUAAUUUGUCAGCUAGUCGAAUCUAAUUUGAAUAGUAUUUAACUUUGAAAUUUGAUAAAAAGUUUGUUCAAACUUGGUUUACUAAAUAAACAAGUUAAGUUUGAACAAAAUUUCAAACUUAUUAAAAUAAUUAAAUACGUUUGAAUACUAGGGUAUUCAAUUUAAUUAGACUCGUUUGCACCCAUAAUUAAAGCAUGCACUUUUUUAUAAAUUUAGGAAUCAACAUUAUCUAUUUGAUAGCUAGCUAAUGGCCCAAAAAGUUAAUUGCCUUAAAUUCUUUUAGCAGCCAUAAAGUAUAGUUGGAGGGAUUCCCUUGAAAUUGAUUAGAUUCUUCUAUGUGACUGUGACGUAUUACUAGUCCUACCCAAAAAAAAAUGGUAUUACUAGUCCUUUUUUCUUUUUGUGGCGUGCCACCGCCGUAGGGGGCGGGGAGGGCAGUCAGUGCGAGAAUUCUAGAUGGGGUAGAAGUAGCCAAAGUUCACCUUAUUCAAAGUAAACAACCGACAAUCUCAGUUGUCGACUUUCCUGUCGAUUGCGUAUAUAUUACUAUCUUUUACCAUGACUUUAGAGGAUACCUAAUUUUGCUUGCUAUUAAAUAAUAAUUCCUGGCACCACAUAAUUCUUUCAAGAACUACCAAAACCUUCUUGAAAUCCCUCUUUUUCCUUUUAGUUCAUUUCCAAGAAACAAAUUGAACCAUCAUGGCCCCUGUCACUUCCAGUUAUGAGGUCACCUCCUCAAUCCCUCCUGCAAGGUUGUUCAAGGCCACCAUCCUUGAAGAGAAGCAUCUUCACAAGAUCUUGCCACAGGGCGUUAAGAGUGUCGAAAUCCUUGAAGGAGAUGGUGGAGUUGGCACAAUUAAGUUGACCACAUUUGUUGAAGGUAAGAUAUCAAUACAAAGUGAUUAUUUUCACACAUUUGAAGUCCUCAAAAUGUUCUUUUUUUUUUUUAACAUUUUAUUUGUGGGGGUAAGUAUGUAUGUAAGCCCUAAUAACCUUUUUUUUUUUGUUGGGUUAAAUAUUUAGGUGGCGAGCUUAAGACUGCCAAACAGAGAGUUGAUGGAAUUGACAAAGAAAAAUUUACAUACAGUUAUACUGUACUUGAAGCUGAUGGAUUUAACGAUGUAAUCGAGAAAAUCUGUUGUGUCAUCAAAUUUGAACCCUCUGCUGAUGGAGGUUCAAUCUGCAAAACCACUAAUACAUACUACCCCAAAGGUGGUGCUCAGAUCAGUGAGGAACACCUCAAGGGAGGAAAAGAGAAGGGUUUGGGAAUGGUUAAGGCUGUUGAGGCUUACCUCCACGCAAAUCCUACUGCCUACAACUAAUUAAAAUGAAUGCUACUGAAGGACUCUUCGACAUAUUUUCUUCAAGAUUGAAGUAUAAACUGAGGGUGUCUGUUUCCUUUUUUGCUUGGUUUGCUUAAGCUGUUUGGUUAAGUUAUUCGCAGCAAGAGAAUAAAAUAAUUCACUUGCUGUUUUUAGAUAUGAAUUCAUGACUGUCAGUAGUCUAUAAAUACACUUAUUGCUCACCGCUCUUUGCACCGCAAAAUCUUUUCAAGAUCCAUCAAACCCUCCUGUUCUUGAUCUUUCUCCAUUUGUGAAAAAACAAAUUAAAGCAUCAUGGCCCCGAUCACUUGUAGUGCUGAGAUGACCUCCCCAAUGCCUCCUGCAAGGUUGUUCGAGGCCGCCAUCCUUGAUGACCACCUUCUUCCCAAGAUCAUGCCACAGGCUAUUAAGAGUGUGGAAAUCCUUGAAGGAGAUGGUGGAGUUUGAACCAUUAAUUUGAGCACAUUUGGUGAAGGUUAGAUGUUAUAUUAAAUGUAGAACCCCAAAUUUAAGGAUCGAAUAAUAAUCAACGCAUGUGGGGUUAUAGAAUUGAAGGGAUAAAACAAAUACUCAAAAUAUACGUGAAAGAAAAGAAAAUAAUAAAUUCAACUUACAAUAUUAUUAAAUUUUCAAACAAUGGAAAAAAUCAUACCACAAUAAAUUCAGCUGGUUCUAAUAAUAAUCAAAGCAUACAAGGUUACAGAAUUAAAAGGAUAAAACAAACGCUCAAAAUAUAUGUGGGAGAGAAGAAAAUAAUCAAUUCAACACACAAUAUUAUUGAAAUCUCAAACAAUGAAAAAAGUCACACCAUAAUAGAAAACCUUGCUUAUUCUUCUAGAUUCUUUCUCUUGAGAGACCAACCUAAAUAAUGUCCUAUUUAUAAUCUACCAAACUUGUUAAGAAAGAAACCACUUGCAUAAGAAAUUACGAAAUAAAUUAGAAAUUCCUAAAUCACACAACUACUAAAAACAUAACUCAAAUAAAACUAAAAAAUAAAUAAAUAUUUCUAGGCUUAGUUUAAUUUGUCAACAUUGCCUCCCUUAAACCAAAUUAUUCAUUGAGAUAGGUUCAACACCAUCUCGAGCAAUAAUUUCUAUGCAAAUCUAUGUUGUAGUACAUUUGACAUGAAACUCUAACUUGUUACCAGUUAUUAAUUUCAUUUUUACACGUAACAAUGGACGCACUAUAUAUUUUGUAAAAAAUUUCUCAGCAAUUUCUUCUUGAUCAAAGUACUCAUUUAUACAAACCCAUUCGUCACCAGAAUCACCAUAUUUACCACCAAUGUAAGUGCCUAAAAUUAAAAAAUCAUAGGUUGCUUUCUCGCUAAAGUUAUCAUCACCAAAUAAUUCAAAAUAACCACUACUACAAUUAUCCAAAAUUUUCAUACUGUCAGUCAACUCUUUUGGAGUAAAAUAUUUUUCAACUCCGAUGACAUCCAUAUCUAUCAAAUCAAACAUUCUCCCAUCACUUUGAAGAGAGUCCGAACCAACAAAUUUUUCAACAACAAUUUCAUGUUCUCUUCUUUUAUCAAAUCAAAAUUUUCUUCUUCUUUUGUCAAAUUACCAUAUUAUUUUUUUCAACAAAUUCAUUACUUCUAAUUUCUCCAAACAAGGUAUGCAAAUCAAAACUAUCAAUUGAUUCAAAAUUUUCGAUAUCACCCAUAUUAUGAACAAAUCUAUCAUUUUUAAAAUCCACAAACCAAUACCAACAACUAGACUUCAGUUUGAAAGCAUAAUUUCUCUCAAUCAUGUGCAAAACAUAGUAAAUAUCCUUCCAAAAUCUCUAAAGUAUUUUAGUAUGACCAAUAAAGGUUCUAUAAAUACUUUCUGCCAUUAUUUUACGCAUCACUUGAAAGAAUAAUUGUGCCUUUUUCUUAAAAACAUGUUUUGACAACUUACUUGCAUCAACCCAACAAAGAAUAUCAUCCAAAUUGCAUUGCUUGACAUAUUUUUCCACUGUUAAAAUCCAAUUAAAAUAUGUAUGUCUAUUUGUGCUUAUAGGAGUCAAUAUGAAAAAUUUUUCACCGUCAAUUAGAUCUUUAUAAUAUUCCAUUAUUUAACAAUUUCUAUACCUGAAUAAAUUUUUUUCCUCCAUCCUGUCAUGUUUUCUUGGCCUCCCUGGUUGACUAACCAAAUUAUUGUUGUAUGUAUACCCAUGCUCGUCAAACCUCAUUCGUGUACACUCGUAAGGAGUGGUUCUGAGCUUAUUGUGAAUGCUUAGUACCAAGAAGUAGAAGAGAGAAUGCAUAAGAGAGAAUUAACUUGGCUAAAGAAUUAGGAAACAAUUGAGGGAUUUUUUAAGAAAUUAAUUCUCCAACCGCCACUUUUGGAUCUUUUCUAUCUACAACUAGUUACCAAAACACUAGCACAUAGUAAGAAAUCGGGAUAAUUUCAGAAACCUCCCUUGAGGCUUUUAAUAAUCUCAAGAAGCUCCCCUCAAUAUUUUAAAAUUACACGUACCUUCCCUAUUGGAGCAAAAGUACUCUACUACCCCUAAUAGGAUACUCAAAAGACUUUUUUUAUGGGAAAAAAGAACCUCAGAAAUCCAAGCGAAAGCAAAAAAAUCAAUUUAUUUUCUCUUUUAGCCUUUAACGCUUUUGCCUUCUACCUUUGCUCACUUUCCCAUGCCAAUCUUCCUAUAACCACUUUCCCAAUCCCCUUUCCCCAACUUUUCUCCUCUACUUCAAGACUAAUUUUUGUCCAUCAAUCCUGGCUUGUGCUUUGUUCCAUUCCCUUCCCUUCUCCUUCUUUGAUUUCCCCUACAUCGCCCUUUCUCUUUGCAAAAGUGACUAGGCUCAUCUCUCUCUUUUUUCCCCUUAUUCUAAGUGUAGUGGGUUUGAUUAUUUUGCAUCUAUUUUAUUUGGUUUUGGUUGAUUAUGGGUGAUAAAACUUGGUGAUGUCAAAUAUCAAAAGUUUGAUAGAUGGAUAUUGGGCUUUAGACAAUGAUUUGCUAGAAAAAAAUGGCUGCAAUGAGAGGAAAAGGCAAGGGGAUUUGAAUGUGGGGUUGAUUGUUGAUGAAUUGUUGUUUUGGACAAAAUUUGAGGUUGAGUUUUGUCAAAUUUGGUAGCAAGUGGCGAGAUUUGUUCAGGUUUCGGGAAAUAAAUUGGAUUGUGGUUUCUUGGGCACCCACAGUUGUUGGAAUUGGUUUUGAUUCAAAUAAAGGUGGUUACUUGAUUUUCCUAAUAGUGUUGCUUAAGAGCACACGAUCAUCAAAAUUCCUUAUUUUUAUCUUUUUUUUUUUGUAGAAAAGAUUUCAUGACUUUCGUGAUAGUCUAAUUUGGAAGAAGGCAAUCAAGGGAUGCAAUCAACAUUUAGCAAAAGCUCUUGUUCUUUUCUUUCUAUUUUUUAGGGUAAAAAGGGUAGUUUAGGGUAUUUGAAGGAAAUGAUAGUCUAUUGGGUCUAUUUUGAAGCAUAAAUAGUGAACGUAAGGGAGGUUGGUGUAAUUUCUGAAACCUAAGGGGAAUUGUCUAAAUUGUCCGAGACCUCAGAGAAGGUUUUCGAAAUUAUCCCUAAGAAAUCAAAUGCGAAACUUGAUUAGUACACACACACACGACACUGCACCACGGCACGCGUGUGUUGAGAACUGAUGUCCGUAACCAACGACAAGCAGGUUUUCAAUUUUUUUUUCCUUUCCUGGAUUCUCCAGAGAUGGUGUCAGCUUCUAUUAUUGAUGAGCAGGAGGAAAUCCACAAUAUACAGUACACAUCACCCAUAUUCUUUUUAAUUGAACAAUGUAUGAAAUUAUGGUGAUUCGAAAUUAAAUUAUAUGUUUAUUGGGCAACGAAUCCAAAAUAAGAAUUGGAAAUGUAUUGUGGCAACAAUUGUUAACUUAGGCUACAAAUGAUCAAAAUAAAUAUUUAAGAUUUAAUAUGACAUUAUGGGUUCAAAAUAUAGUUACUUGUUAUGAAACAACUAAAAGUGUGGAUGUCCAUUUGUAUUCUCAAGAGGAUCAAUUCAUAAUUCAUUGCUCCCAAGAGGAUUAAUUCAUAAUUCAUUGCUACAUUAUGUGAAGGAAUUACAUUAGAUGAACGGUUUCAAUCCAUAAGAGCUAUUCAUGUAUUGGAUGAACCGUUUCACAUGGCUAUUCAUGUUCUUGUAGUAAUAAGUAUUUAAUAGAAUUGAUGUAUGUUUAAUUUUGUAGUACCUAUAUAUAGAGGUACCUUGGCACCUCUUGGCUGUCCUUUUUGAUUAAUUUGAAUAAUAAGAAAAUCAUUCUCUAUUUCUAUACUUCUUUCUCUAAUAUUUCAAUUCUUAUUAUAGUAGUUCAUUAUUUUUUUAGUUUUACAACACGUUAUCAGCACGAGUCUCUAUUUUUGAAUAAAAAACUGAAAAUGGAGCCUAUACCUUAAAAAAAGCAAAAAAUGUGAUUCUGCUGAAAUUCUGCAUGUAUUUUUCCGGCAACUUCUAUCUACUUAUUGAGAAAUGGAUGCCAAAUAUUUGGGAUUAAAUAAUGGUGAUGAUGACAUUUGUCUCAUUGAUUGUACUACUACGCACACUAUAUUGAAAAAAAAAAUUCUUGUAUGAAAAUGGGAGAGACAAAUGUUAAUACCAUAAGUGGUAGUGCAAAAUUGAUUGAAAGUUCUGGAAGAGCCACUCUAUUUCUUCCUGAAAGGACUAAAAUUGUCGUAAAUAAUGCACUACUAUCUCUCAAGUCUUGAAGAAAUUUAUUCAGUUUUAAAGAUAUCUGCGAAAAAUGGAUAUCAUAUCGGGACAAUAAAUGAGACAAAUGGAGAAUUUUUAUUAAUCACAAAUAUCAUUUCUGAGCAGAAAUACGUAGUAGAAAAAUUACCUUCUUUUUCUUCUGGCUUAUAUUAUGCACAAAUUAGUGCAAUUGAAAUUUAUCACCUAGGAGACCAGAAUUCUACUCAUCCCAAUAAUUUUAUGAUUUGGUAUGAUUGUCUCGAAAAUCCUAGAUAUAUAAUGAUGAGGCAAAUAAUUGAGAAUUCACAUGGUCACUCAUUGAAAAAUCAAAAGAUAUUAAAAGCAAAUAAAUUCUCUUGUGUUGCUUGUUCCCACGGAAAAUUAAUUAUUAGACCAUCACCAGUAAAAGUUGGGACUGAAUCCUCUACAUUUCUAGAACGAAUUCAUGAUGAUAUAUGUGGACUUGUAGAUCCACCAUGUGGACCAUUUCGAUAUUUUAUGGUGCUAAUUAAUGCAUUAACUAGAUGAUCACAUGUAUGUUUAUUAUCUACUCGCAACUUGGCGUUUGCGAGAUUGUUUGCUCAAAUAAUUAAAUUGCGAGCACAAUUUUCAAACUAUCCAAUAAAGAAAAUUCAUCUAGAUAAUGCUGGUGAAUAUUCGUCACAUGCUUUUGACGAUUAUUGCAUGUCCAUUGGAAUAACUGUUGAACAUCCUGUAACUUAUGUUCACAUUCAAAAUGGUUUAGCCGAAUCAUUUAUUAAAUGGCUAUAAUUAAUUACUAGACCAUUGUUGAUGAGAUCUAAACUUCCUUCAUUUGCUUGGGAACAUGCUAUAUUACAUGUAGCAAUACUUGUGAGAAUUAGAUCGACAAGUUAUCAUACUUAUUUUCCCCUAUAAUUAACUUUUGUUUUUGAGUCCAAUAUUUCUCAUUUACGAAUAUUUGGUUGUUCGAUUUAUGUUCUAAUUAUACCGUCCCAACAUCGUAAAUUAGACCCGCAAAGAAGAUUGGGGAUAUAUGUUGAGUAUGAAUCACCUUUAAUUAUUAAGUAUAUGGAACCAUUGACAGGUGAUUUAUUUACUGCGAGAUUUGCAGAUUGUCAUUUUGAUGAAUCACAUUUUUCGACAUUAGGGGGAGAUAAAAAUCAACCGAAAAAGAAAAUCACUUGAAAAAUAUCUUUGAAUUUCCUCGAUUCUCAUACCAAAGAAUGUGAACUAGAAGUUCAAAAGAUUAUACAUUUGCAAAAAAUUACAAAUCAAUUACCGGACGCAUUUAAUGACUCCAGAAAAGUUACUAAAUCACAUAUUCCUAUUGCAAAUGCUCCGAUUAAAUUAAUGUCUUUGAAGGACAAAUUACAAAUGUUAACGAGUCUAAAGCGUACCUAAAGCGUGGAAGACCUCUUGGUUCCAAAGAUAAAAAUUCUCGAAAGAAAAGAGGAGUAGAUGAAUCAACAAUUAGUGACAAAAUUCAACUUCCUGAAGAGGUCGCUCCUAAAGAGCCAAUUCUUGAAGAGAAUGAAAUUAUAGAAAAUUCAUUAAAUUUUGUCAUUUCAGGAAAAAGUUAGAAUCGAAAAGAAAUAAUUAUUGAUAGUAUUUUUGCAUAUAAUAUACCACUUGAUAUUAUGGUAGAGAAUAAGGAUCACGAGCCUAGAUAGGUUGAUGAAUGUCGACGUAGAAAUAAUUGGGCAAAAUGGAAAGAUGUGAUCCAAUCUGAAUUGAACUCACUGGUUAAAAGAAAAGUUUUUGGACCUGUAGUCCAAACACCUGAAGGUGUAAAGCCAGUAGGAUAUAAAUGGAUAUUUGUGAAAAAAAAAAUGAGAAAAAUGAAAUCGUGAGGUAUAAAGCAAGACUUCUAGCCCAAGAAUUUUCACAAAGGCUUGGAUUUGAUUAUGAUUACACGUAUUCACCUGUAGUGGAUGCUAUCACAUUUAGAUAUCUUGUGAGUUUUGCAGUACAUGAAAAAUCAGAUAUGCAUCUAAUGGACGUCGUUACUGCAUAUUUAUAUGAAAAUCUUGAUAAUGAUAUUUAUAUGAGAAUCCCCGAAGGAUUCAACAUGCCUGAAGCAUACAAAUCAAAUCCUAAAGAUAUUUAUUCUAUUAAAUUACAAAGAUUUUUGUAUGGGCUUAAACAAUCUGGACGUAUGUGGUACUGCCUCAAUGAAUGUUUAACUAAAGAAGGCCAUACCAAUGAUCCAAUAUAUCCAUGUGUCUUUAUCAAGAAAAAUGGAUCAAAUUUUGUGAUAAUUGUUAUAUAUGUUGAUGAUUUAAAUCUGAUUGAAACUCUUGAAGAGAUUAGUGUUGAAUAUUUGAAGAAGAAAUUUGAGAUCAAAGAUUUUGGAAAAACAAAAUUCUGCCUUAGUUUACAAAUUAAGCAUUUGAAAAGUGAAAUUUUUGUCCACUAAACUGCUUAUACCCCGGAAGGUAUUAUAGCAGUUUUAUAUGGAUAAGGCACAUACAUUAAGUACCCCAAUGGUCAGAUCAUUAGAUCCUAAUAAGGAUCCUUUUAGACUGCGAGAGGAAGAUGAAGAGAUACUUGGUCCUAAAGUACCAUAUCCCAAUACAAUUGGUGCACUAAUAUAUCUUACUAAUUGUAGAAGACCUGAUAUAUCAUUUGCAAUAAAUUUAUUAGCAAGAUUUAGUUCCUCGCCCACAAGACGACAUUAGAAUGGUAUUAAACAUAUUUUUCGUUAUCUCCAAGGAACAAUUGAUCUUGGUUUAUUUUAUUCAAAUAAAUCUAAGCUUGAAUUGCAUGAUUAUGCUAAUGCUGGAUAUUUAUCUGACCGGUAUAAAGCAAGAUCUCAGACUGGUUAUCUAUUUAUACAUGGAGGUACAGCCAUUUCUUUGCGAUCUACAAAGCAAUCGUUAGCCGCCACUUCAUCGAAUCAUGCUGAAAUAAUAGCAAUUCAUGAGGCUAGUCGAGAAUGUGUUUGGUUAAGAUCAAUGACCCACUAUAUCCGUAAGAGUUGUGGGUUAUCCUCCGAAAAAGAAAAUCCUCCAACUAUAUUAUAUGAAGAUAAUGUAGCUUAUAUAACUUAAUUGAAAGGAGAAUAUAUUAAAGGAGAUAGAACAAAACAUAUUUCACAAAAAUUCUUUUGUACUCAUGAUUUACAAAAGAAUGGUGAAAUUUAUGUGCAACAAAUCCGAUCAGAUAAUAAUUUGACAGAUUUAUUUACCAAUGCAUUGCCAACUGUAAUAUUUGAGAAAUUGAUGAAGAAUAUUGGAAUGCGACAAUUAUAAGAUCUCAAAUGAUAUUUGCAUCAGGGGAAGAAAUCAAUACACAAAAAUAGUGUACUAUUUUUCCAUCACUAGGGUUUUCGUCCCAUUGGAUUUUUUCCUAAUAAGGUUUUAAUGAGGCAUAUUCUUUAUGUAAUGGACAUCCAAUGGGGAGUGUUAUGAAACAACUAAAAGUGUGGAUGCCCAUUUGUAUUCUCAAGAAGAUCAAUUCAUAAUUCAUUGCUCCCAAGACGAUUAAUUCAUAAUUCAUUGCUACAUUAUGUAAAGGAAUUACAUUGGAUGAACGGUUUCAAUCCAUAAGAGUUAUUCAUGUAUUGGAUGAACCAUUUCAUAUGGCUAUUUAUGUUCUUGUAGUAAUGAGUGUUUAAUAGAAUUGAUGUACGUUUAAUUUUGUAGUACCUAUAUAUAGAGGUAUCUUGGCACCUCUUUAGUGUACUUUUUGAUUAGUUGGAAUAAUAAAAAAAUCAUUCUCCAUUUCUGUACUACUUUCUCUAAUAUUUCAAUUCCAAUUAUAGCAGUUCAUUUUUUUUUUUGGGUUUACAACAUUACUCAAAGAAGAGAGUUAUUGGACUAUAUGUUUAUUGACCUCUACUAACUUAUUUAAGGUCAUUUCAUAUCACUAUCCAAAGAAAAAUUCUUGGGCGUUAACAUUUUUCUUACAUGCCAAGACUAUUAAUGAAAGUUGACCCAAAUCUCUCUCUCUCUUUCUCUCAAUUCUUAGGACUGAUGCCAAUUCUUACCAUUUAGAAAGAAAAAUUAGAUUGUUUAUAUAUAUGAUGAGUUCCCUCUAAGUCAUGGUUAAGAAAAAUUCUUAGUUUUAUGAAAUGUGAAUUUCCUUUUCGUUGUCUUUAUUCAUUAGUAUUAUUGGGGUUAUUGUAUUAUGAUUGCAAUGCACAGAUACAUGGAUUUUUGACAUUUUUUUUCUCAUUUUUUCUUUUUAAUCGACUCUGACUAUGUCUCAAACUCGAGACAUCAAACCUGGACACGACUUUUGUCCAAAAUGCUUGUAAAAAAUCAGAAGAAUAAUUUUGGACCUUAUUAUUUAAUAAUGGUACGAUUAUGAGAGUCAUUCCAGGUUAAUUAUCAAACUUGUAACUUGAAAAUAAUGUCGACAUCAUGUCAUUAUUAUUUUCUAGUUUCAUAGAAAAAUGAAGUAUUCUCCAACUCGACAUUAUCAUAUUAUUCUCAAUUGGCAGCUCAUGUGAGAAAGACAAGAAAUUCACAAUCAACUGGCCAAGAGAGUGCCAACAAAGAAAGCACUAAAUGGCUUAAACAAAGCAUGCAAAUUUGCUUAGCACUUAAACAAUAGACACCUAAAUCAACCAUGUCACUGUCUUGCCAAAAAAGGGCAUUAAAGUAAAAACAACUCAUGCCUAACACAGGUAACAAACUUCAGCACCUUCACUUCACCGCCACGUCAUCAACAACAUUUGCAAAUUUCCAAGGAAGUCCACGCACUAAAGGUGCCCAUGCCCUUAGGGGACCUCAGGUUAGUGUUCUUAACAUCAACUCCUGUCUUUAUAUUCUUAGGAAAUAUUGAAAUUAAACAUUAUCACUAAUCCUGAUUUCCUUAUGCUAUAUUUGUACACAAUUUGGCAACAAGGUUGUCCUUUUUUGGGCCAAAUUGGACAAGUAAAAAAAAGAAAAUUAAAAGGUUUAUCUGCAAACUGUAGUUCGGCCUGCCUCUUUUUUUUUUUUUUUUGGGGAUAAGAUCGUCAUGUAUCAAUAUUUCUGUACUUAGCAUUGGCUUCUUCUCGCCUGAAGAACACACGAACCACCGGAUGAAAGUGGUGAAUGAAAGUGCACUUAACCCUUUUAAUUUUUCAAAACAAUGCUUUUAGAAAAAAUAAUAAAGACUUUUUUGAAUUUAAUUUUAGAGAAGAAGAAUUUUAAACUUUUUUGAAUUUAAUCUUACAGAAGAAGAAGUUUAAAAUGUACUUUAAUUUUCACAACUGAUGAUGAGAAUAGCAAAAUGUAUACGGACGGUGACAAAAGUGCCGUCUUAUCCUUUUGCUGACGGCCCGUUUUCCAAUGAGAGGAUGCCUCUGCUUCGUAUUUUAUCCAUAUUGAUAUAUAUUCUUUUCUGUCCCCCUAACUAUUAAAUGUGAAAGGUUGCCCACCAAAUUUGACGAAACCGUUUAUCCUAAUUGAUUAUUAUCCAUAGGGCAUAACUUUAAUAUUCUUCUUCCAACCCGUCCGUCAAUGACCACUAACCACCUCUAAUCUAUUCUCAAAUUUUAAUGAAAUUGCGCAAUUAGUUUUCAUUUCUCACUUUUAUUUCAAAUUUGGUCUCAAUUUAAUGUGAAUCCCAAUAAAUAAGACCGGAGUUGAAAUCAAAGAACGUAUUUCAAUCACCAUCGGAUAAAUUCUUCAUGUCUAGUUUUGUCCUUGAGAUGCAUAGAAAAUGUAAGCUGAUCUUGCAGUCUACGAGAAAAACGAAGUCUAAGAGAAUAAUUUUGUCAAAACUUGACAAUGGAAUGAACCGGUGGUCGCUGGUUGGCAGCUGCUAGAAGUCAUAGCAGUUUUAAAACAUAAUUGCAGCAAGUAAAAGAUUAAAACUACGUUGUGUACUGUUAACGACUUACAUUGACAAAAUGGUUAAGGACAGAGUUGAAAGAUGAAUCAAACUGUUCGACAUUCGAUUCGAAUUUGACUUGGUAAAAACUUAUUCCAAUUUGAUUUGUCAGCUAGUCAAAUCUAAUUUAAAUAGUAUUUAACUUUGAAACUUGAUAAAAAGUUUGUUCAAACUCAGUUUACUAAAUAAACAAGUCAAAUUUGAACAAAAUUUCAAACUCAUUAAAAUAAUUAAAUACGUUUGAAUACUAGGAUAUUCGAUUUAAUUAAAUGCGAUUGCACCCCUAAUUAAAGCAUGUACUUUUUUUAUAAAUUUAGGAAUCAACAUUAUACAUUUAAUAGCUAGCUAGAGGGUCAAAAAGUUAAUUGCCUUAAAAUUCUUUUAGCAGCCAUAAAGUAUAGUUGGAGGGAUUCCCUUGAAAUUGAUUAGAUUCUUCUAUGUGACUAAAGAAUUUCGGGUGUGACGUAUUACUAGUCCUACCCUAAAAAAAAUGGUAUUACUAGUCCUUUUUUUCUUUUUUAGCGUGCCCCCGCCGUGGAGUGUGGGGAGGGUGGUCUGUGCGAGAAUUCUAGAUGGGGUACAAGGUGCCAAAGUUCACCUUAUUCAAAGUAAACAACCUUCCAUCUCAGAUGUUGAAUUUCCUGGCAAUUGCGUAUAUAUUACAAUCUUUUACCAUGACUUUAGAGGACAGCUAAAUUUGCUUGCUAUUAAAUAAUAUUUUCGGUAGUCUAUAAAUACUCUUGGUCCUAACUGCUUCUUGCACCACAUAAUUCUUUCAAGAACUACCAAAACCUUCUUGAAAUCCCUCUUUUUCCUUUUAGUUCAUUUCCAAGAAACAAAUUGAACCAUCAUGGCCCCUGUCACUUCCAGUUAUGAGGUCACCUGCUCAAUCCCUCCUGCAAGGUUGUUCAAGGCCACCAUCCUUGAAGAGAAGCAUCUUCACAAGAUCUUGCCACAGGGCGUUAAGAGUGUCGAAAUCCUUGAAGGAGAUGGUGGAGUUGGCACAAUUAAGUUGACCACAUUUGUUGAAGGUAAGAUAUCAAUACAAAGUGAUUAUGUUCACAAAUUUGAAGUCUUCAAAUUGCUCACUUUUUUUUUCUUUUAUUUGGGAAAAGCUAAUGACUUUUUUUUUUUUUUUUGGUUGGGUUAAAUAUUUAGGUGGCGAGCUUAAGACUGCCAAACAGAAAGUUGAUGGAAUUGACAAAGAAAAAUUUACAUACAGUUAUACUGUACUUGAAGCUGAUGGAUUUAACGAUGUAAUCGAGAAAAUCUGUUGUGUCAUCAAAUUUGAACCCUCUGCUGAUGGAGGUUCAAUCUGCAAAACCACUAAUACAUACUACCCCAAAGGUGGUGCUCAGAUCAGUGAGGAACACGUCAAGGGAGGAAAAGAGAAGGGUUUGGGAAUGGUUAAGGCUGUUGAGGCUUACCUCCACGCAAAUCCUACUGCCUACAACUAAUUAUAAUGAAUGCUACUGAAGGACUCUUCGACAUAUUUUCUUCAAGAUUGAAGUAUAAACUGAGGGUGUCUGUUUCCUUUUUUGCUUGGUUUGCUUUAAGCUGUUUGGUUGAGUUAUUUGCAGCUAUGAUCAUAAUAUUUGAUCGAAGUGUGCUUUUCUUGCAAC